UUUUAUUAAAAACUGCAUUCUGAGAUCCUAAGACAGUCUCAAGAUUCUCUCUUCCUUUAGUGAAAAUUGAUAAUGUUUUAAGCAAAUAUUCAAUUUUCUUUUCCAGAUUUUUACAGUUAUCACAGGUUUUCAUAGCAGAGCAUGCAAACAAGUCAAUUCAAGACUUGCCAUAUCUGUUUUUGCCUGAUGCAGUUCUUUCUCGAAAGCCUUAACCUUAGGUUUAAGUAUUGAUCCUGCCUGUUUACCAGAACGUUGAAGCUUGCGUCGUCAAACUUGGAUCGACGUGUGCGCCGCUUCUACCUCCGUCCUUCGUCACGAUCCACCUCAAGAACCUGCAAAAGAACAGAGCGGCACCGCUGCGGCCGAUCGCACUCCAACGCCCAAGUCAGUGACUGAACCACCAAAUACUAAGAGUACCACUCAAGAACUCUCAAGGAACCGUGCAAUGUUCUCUCUCACAGUAUGCUCAAGAACUCGCAAGCGUAAAGAAGACAAUCUGAACGUGCGUACCUCAGAAGUUCGUUGGGAAACCCUUAUAUACCUGGGCACUUUCUCUCUCCUGGCAGUUACACACUUGGACACGUGGCUCGCAUCCAGCUGUACACAUGCCAUCAUCUGGAGCCUCCUUGACUUGGGCGCUGCUUCUGACUCUCCUUUGGCUAAGUUACUUAUGCAUGAUACUACUCAGUGCAUAGCUGUCCUGGAGUGCGAUCUCUACUGGAUUGGCGAGCUAGGGUGCCUUCGUACACACCUUCCCUGUGGUCUCGCCGGCCGCCUUCAUAAUCUGCACCACCUUCAUCUACGGCGAUGUGUUUGCUCCGGCGAUCUCUAAUCACUUGGUCGCCUGAGUUUACAUCUGGGCGACUUCAUCUUUAACCCGGUGACCGCCCGGUUCUGGUAUGCUGGAGAUCGGACCACGCCAACUUAAUAACUGGCGAAUUCACCAACCCCCCGACUUCCUUCCCUUCUGCNNNNNNNNNNNNNNNNNNNNNNNNNNNNNNNNNNNNNNNNNNNNNNNNNNNNNNNNNNNNNNNNNNNNNNNNNNNNNNNNNNNNNNNNNNNNNNNNNNNNNNNNNNNNNNNNNNNNNNNNNNNNNNNNNNNNNNNNNNNNNNNNNNNNNNNNNNNNNNNNNNNNNNNNNNNNNNNNNNNNNNNNNNNNNNNNNNNNNNNNNNNNNNNNNNNNNNNNNNNNNNNNNNNNNNNNNNNNNNNNNNNNNNNNNNNNNNNNNNNNNNNNNNNNNNNNNNNNNNNNNNNNNNNNNNNNNNNNNNNNNNNNNNNNNNNNNNNNNNNNNNNNNNNNNNNNNNNNNNNNNNNNNNNNNNNNNNNNNNNNNNNNNNNNNNNNNNNNNNNNNNNNNNNNNNNNNNNNNNNNNNNNNNNNNNNNNNNNNNNNNNNNNNNNNNNNNNNNNNNNNNNNNNNNNNNNNNNNNNNNNNNNNNNNNNNNNNNNNNNNNNNNNNNNNNNNNNNNNNNNNNNNNNNNNNNNNNNNNNNNNNNNNNNNNNNNNNNNNNNNNNNNNNNNNNNNNNNNNNNNNNNNNNNNNNNNNNNNNNNNNNNNNNNNNNNNNNNNNNNNNNNUACUUUUACACUGUUUGAUCUGGCUACGCCCUGGUUGGGCGACGCCUUGCCUUGGCGACGCCUUGUCCUAUCUUGGCGACGCUUCCUCUUGGCGUCUCUACACCUGGGCGACACCUUGAGUUGACUUUGACUUUCCAGUCGUUGACUUUGACUUAGUCAACGCCCUGAUACGGGACGGUACACAAGCCCCCAGUCUUAAGCCGAAGACUUGUCUUCAGCGCAAAGACUAAAGCCUUGCCCCCACCAUCCGCGUGCCUUCCUGAUGACGUGUCAUUCUCUGCUGACUCUACAAUUUUUCGAAUUACUGACGCGACACUUUCUGAACCACAGGGUAUUCUUAAUGACCGAUUGGACAUUCCCUGAAAUGGGGAUGAUAACGCCUUUUGGGCUACCCUUGAUCNNNNNNNNNNNNNNNNNNNNNNNNNNNNNNNNNNNNNNNNNNNNNNNNNNNNNNNNNNNNNNNNNNNNNNNNNNNNNNNNNNNNNNNNNNNNNNNNNNNNCAGGGCGGUACACAAGCCCCCUAGUCUUAAGCGAAGACUUGUCCAGCGAAAAGACUAAAGGAGUCACGCCAACACCGAUCUACGUGGCGCUGGCGCAGAAUUCCAAGCGGUUGUACUUUCUGCUUUCCUGACGCUCCACCAAACACUCCUCCGAUCGCUCGAUAUGUGGCUUCAUCAACGGUUACCUUCAGUUGACGUUUGCGCUUCCCAAACUUAUUCGAAAAACCCUUAAACCCAUUUCGCUCCACUGUUCCAUCACUUUCUUCGUAUUCUCAGACGCUUCAACUUUCUUCUGCAAAAGCUCUCAACGUUCUUCAACCUCCUGAAUCACCAACCUCUUUCAUCACUCUCCCGAUCAUAAAAAGGUACUUCCUUUCCUUCUUCUGCUGUUUUUUCCUGCAUUUUAACCGAUUCGCAUCAUCCUUUAACUGUCUGGUGCAUACGUUGUGGGUUGUUUUUUCCAUUUCUCCUUUCUCGUAACUUAGGGCUUCGUCUUCGUUACAACGAACCUUCGUUCGUUCGUUUUUCACCCCUCUUUCACGAUCGAGUCAGCCUCUGCGAACCCUGAUCACCUUUUCUUUUCUUCUUCCUUUGCAGAUGGUUCGCUCAAAGAUCACCCUAAAUCCUCCUCCCUCGUCUCGAAACCCUUCGUCUCAAGCACACAACCAACCGCGAGCACCUGGUGCUUCCUCUUCCCAGGCUGAGUGGCCUGCACCCUCCCGCUCUAACCUGGCUCAGGCCACUCCCCUGUCGCCGGAGGAGCCUCUGUUCACUCCCCAGACUUCAAAAAAUUGUACCCAUGGGCCACCUCGACUUUGUUGAAGGAAACAUCUUCCGUAAACUCUGCUGGGGCAGUUCUGCGAUUGAAGAAAGGGGACGAGCCUCACCUAUCGUUCUACAAGGAGCACGACGACAAGAUGAUGGUGCUGCCUUGCUCUCCCGACAUGCCGGUGUGCGUUGACGACAAGGGGAACACCGGCGGGUUGUUCUGCCUCAUAUACACCACCCUGUUCAAGAAGGUGAAACUUAGGUUUCCCUUCACUCGCUUCGAAAGAGAGCUACUCACCGAGCUCGACAUCGCCGCCGCCCAGCUCCAUCCCAACAGCUGGGCGUUCGUGCGAGCGUUCCAGAUCAUGUGCGACCACUUGGGGCUGCCAGCGUCAGUGGAUGUCUUCCUCUUUCUUUUUGAAGCCAAGCACCCAGGAGAUCGCCUGUGGGUGAGCUUGAACGGGAUUGCUGGGAGGUCGAUCCUCUCUAUCUUCCAGCAAUCCUACAAAGAUUGGAAGGGCAAGUUUGUCCAGGUGCGCCCCAAUGACAAGGACGCUUCUCUGCUUGACGGUUUCCCCUUGUAUUGGGUAAACAAGGGGAACAAAGAGUCCAAAAGCAGCUUCAGGAGGCCAAGAAGUCCUGAUAGCAUGGGUGCUUUGGACAAAGACCUAUGCUUCUUCUGGAAGAGUGUGGCAGAUGCCAACAUUACCUUCCUUACCACCACACUCAUCUCCUAUUAGUUCUUCGAAGAUCAACUCGAAGUUCGCAUAGGUUAGAACUCAGCUCAACGUUUAAGUUAUUUCCUUGACAUUAUCUCUGUUAACUGUUUCUGGGCGUCUUGUGCGUUGUGCACAAGACUUUGGUUUUAUUUUCUGCACCACUGAUCUGCUUUCUGCUGCAUACUGACUUAUGCAUUUAUUCUUCUCUCUGAGCUAACCCAUGCAUCUCUGCUUUAUGCAGAUCGUAUGUUGGGCCAGGGCAAACUUGCUGAGCUGAGGGCGCUCGCCCGAUCCCAUGGGUUGGCAUCGGGUUCCCAAACCGUGCCAAACUCAGUGGUGGAGAUCGCCGCUGCGCAGGGCAGAUCGCCACCCAAAGGCCCAACUCCUCCCGAGGCCCAACCCGCCAACCAACGCAAAAAUCUUAUCCUCAGGAAACCAAAGAGGAAAGCCCCCCAAGUAGUCCAUGAGGNNNNNNNNNNNNNNNNNNNNNNNNNNNNNNNNNNNNNNNNNNNNNNNNNNNNNNNNNNNNNNNNNNNNNNNNNNNNNNNNNNNNNNNNNNNNNNNNNNNNCCCAACUCCAUCCCAACAGUGGGGCUUUCGUGAGGGGGUUCCAAAUUCUCUGCGGCUAUCUAGGCGUUCCUUCCUCCGUGGACGUUUUUCUUCACUUCUUCGAGGUAAAGAAGCAAGGGAAGAGUCUCUGGAUGAGCUUUUCUGGCAUCGCCGGGCGCAUCAUCCUUACGCUCUUCCAGAAUUCGUUCAAAGGAUGGAAGGGGAAAUUCUUCAAGGUACGCGCGACCAAGCGCGAUCCUUCCAUCCUAGAGGGCUUUCCCCUGUACUGGACAGACAAACCCAUAACCAUGAAGCCCUUGGCUCUGGACGAGCUCGCCCCGCCUGACCGGGAUGUAUGCAAAGCCUUGGCGGGACUGGGAAUAGUCUUCGAUACCGCCAAACUCAUCGCGAACGAAUUCAAUGCCCAUGGGCUUUCUACCUACUUCGGUAUCUGCUCUUGGUGAUUUAUGAUGCAUUAGUUGUUGUGGUUAUCUGCAUGUAUUUGGCCAUAGAAUCUUCCUUCUGAUUCAUCUGAAUUAAACUUAUGCUACCAUUUUUCGCUGUACAAUGUUACUUGCAUUUUCACGCCUCUUCAUGUAUUGUGAAUUCGCAUAACUGUUCUAGUGCUAAUCCUUGUUGUUUGGCCUGUCUUGAUAUAGGAUCACUGAUGGGCGUUUCCAAAAGAAUAAUGUUGGCGAAAGCACUGAAGGAGGCUCGUGCCGCCAAGGCAGGCGUCUCCUCCAGCCCUGUUGCCAAUCCGGUUCUCCCACCGGCUCCGUCAUCGAGCUGGUAUCCUAAAGCCAAGCACGAAUCCACGGUGUGGCCAAAGUCCUGGUGAAACUCACACCAGGCGUCUGGCUUUGGUCCCAGCACCUUGUCGCCUACCUUCUCGGGCGCUUUCAACCUAGCUGAUAUGUUGGGAAUGGCGAUCAGGUCCGCCAAUCCCAUGACAAACUUGUGCUUAGGCGGGCGAUUGUAUUCCCGGCGUGCUGGUUGCGGGCGUCCUUGGCCCCUGCCCUUGUUCUUCCUUGGAUCAUAAGGAUGGCGAGUCCUCUGAUCCCUUCUGGCGGCCGCUGUCUCCAACACCCUCUGUGGCUGGAUCCUGGUCUGGGCGCGUGGCCUAGCGGGAGCCACGCUUCCUCUCUUCUCGGCGACUUCACUCUCAUCGGCGAUGUGGGCCACCGCAAGUCGCCUAACCUCAGCAAACGUGGCGGGGUGGGCCCUGAUCAAUGCCUCGCAGAAUGGUCCCGGCAGCACGUCCUUCUUAAAUGCGUAGACCAGCAUUUCUUCAUCUUUAGCCGGCGAUCUGACCAUCUGCGCCCCAAAGCGAUUCAAGUAGUCCCUGAGGGACUCUCCCUGAUACUGCCUUAUAUCAAACAAAUCAUAAGACACCCUGGGCGGUGCCUUAUUCACGAUGUACUGCUCGACGAAGAUCUUAGAAAACUGUUGGAAGUUGGUUAUGUGACCUGUAGGCAGGCUCACAAACCAUUCCAGCGCCGUUCCCUGGAGUGUGCUCACAAACAUCUUGCAGUACACGGCGUCUGAUCCUCCUGACAGCAUCAUCUGCGUAUGGAACGUGGUGAGGUGAGCCUCAGGAUCCUCCACGCCGGUAAAAACAGCCUUAACAGGUACCACACUCGCAGGAAUACGCGUGUCCGUAAUCGCCUGAGCGAAAGGCAUGGGAAAAACACGAGCGGCGUUGACGGCGCGACCUCUUCAGCAAUAGGACGCCUUUGCUGCUCCUGAAGAGCUUGACGCAGCUCUUCAAUCACUUUGCUAAGCUCAUCAUUCCUGGCCCGAGAGGCGACCAGGUCCUCAUGCAUUCUCGCCUGUUCUAUGCGCGAGGUUUCCACAGUUGCCUGCAACGAACGCAUAAUCUCUACCAUCUGCGCCAUGGUCAUGGCGCCGACGCCUUCAGCAGCAACAGGCGCAACUGGACUUGAACGGUUGCUUCUCAUUUUUCUCAUGAAACUUGACGAAUCACAGGGUGCAACGAACAAAACUUCCUUCAGCGACGAUCGAUUCAGCGAUCAAUCGGUCAAAACUUCGCGAAACUGCGAAAGAAACCCCAAGAACACAGCGAACCUCCACAGAAACCGAACAAAACUCGCGCAAUCAGCAGAAAACUUCACCUCACCGAACAAAACCCCAAACGAAAGGGGGAAAACGCGAAAACACCGAACAAAAUUCAGAUGAACAGCGAACAGUGGUUGCACCAGCACACAACCACGCAGAAAACUGCAAAAACCUCCAAGAACUCACGCUGUGGAUGGGAACAGGUUUUACACGACCCCACGGUGGGCGCCUGAUGAUCCUGCCUGUUGGCCAGAACGUUGAAGCUUGCCUCGUCAAACUUGGAUCGACGUGUGCGCCGCUUCUACCUCUGUCCUUCGUCACGAUCCACCUCAAGAACCUGCAAAAGAACAGAGCGGCGCCGCUGCGGCCGAUCGCACUCCAACGCCCAAGUUAGUGACUGAACCACCAAAUACUAAGAGUACCACUCAAGAACUCUCAAGGAACCGUGCAAUGUUCUCUCUCACAGUAUGCUCAAGAACUCGCAAGCGUAAAGAAGACAAUCUAAACGUGCGUACCUCAGAAGUUCGUUGGGAAACCCUUAUAUACCUGGGCACUUUCUCUCUCCUGGCAGUUACACACCUGGACACGUGGCUCGCAUCCAGCUGUACACGUGCCAUCAUCUGGAGCCUCCUUGACUUGGGCGCUGCUUCUGACUCUCCUUUGGCUAAGUUACUUAUGCAUGAUACUACUCAGUGCAUAGCUGUCUUGGAGUGCGAUCUCUACUGGAUUGGCGAGCUAGGGUGCCUUCGUACACACCUUCCCUGUGGUCUCGCCGGCCGCCUUCAUAAUCUGCACCACCUUCAUCUUCGGCGAUGUGUUUGCUCCGGCGAUCUCUAAUCACUUGGUCGCCUGAGUUUACAUCUGGCGACUUCAUCUUUAACCCGGUGACCGCCGGUUCUGGUAUGCUAGAGAUCGGAGCACGCCAACUUAAUAACUGGCGGUUUCACGAGCCCCCCGACUUCCUUCCCUUCUGCCAACCUGGCGUCUCGUCAACACGCCUAUACUGUAGCUUGAUGCCACGUCAUCACUUCCGACUACCAGGGCGGUACAAGUAUAUUAUUGCAAUUCUCAAUUUAUUGCAAAUAACAACCAAUAUGUUUGCUUCAUCAUGUGUUUCUUUAAAAACAAUUAAUAACUGAUCAUAGCUUUCAGAAUCAGUAGAGUAAUCACUCACCAAAUCAGAGCUUGAUCCUUCAUUAUUCACCAUGAAACACAGAUUUGCUGGCUCACUUUCAGUUGAGGAAUCACUUAAUGAGGAUACUUCAUUAUCCUUCCAGGAGAUAUAUGCUCUUCUUCCUUUGCUUCUUUCACCCUUCUUAUUGGCUGGUUUUUCUUUAUUUUGAUUGUUUAGACAAUCAACUUUUAUGUGACCUGGUUUACCACAUCCAAAGCAAGUGAAAUUAGAAGAAUUUGAUUCAUUGGGUUUAGAGUACCUCUUUCUUUGUUGAGAUAUAUCUCGGUUUUUCCUUUUUAGGAAUCUACUGAAUUUCUGAUGAGCAGACUCAAGGUCUCAUCAUGUUCAGGAUUCUCUUCUUCCUCACUUGUAUCAUACUAUAUACUGGUUUUCAAAGCAUUCCCUUGAUUCUUCUCUCCAUUGUUUCUUGUUCUUUUAAUCUUUUGAGUUCAAGCUCAUGCUCCAUCAAUUUCCCGAGCAAUGCAGCAGUGGAGAACUUGGAUAAAUCUCUGGUUUUAGAGAUUGUUGUUACCUUUGGUUGCCAGCUUUUGUCAAGACAUUUGAGCACUUUUAUGUUGAGCUCUUCCUUGUUAAAAUUCUUACCAAGUCCAAUAAGGUGAUUUACCAUAUGUGUAAACCCUUUCUCCACAUCUGCAAUGCUUUCUUCUGGUUGCAUCCUAAAAAGUUCAUAUUCUUCAAUGAGUGAGUGUUUCCUGGCUCUUUUCAAAUCAUCCGUGCCCUCGUGUGUUACUUAUAGUAUUUCCCAUAUUUCUUUAGCUGAAUUGCAUUGAGAUACUCUAAAGAACUCAUCCGUGUUUAGGGCAGAGAUUAUGAUAUUCUUGGCUAGAGAGUCAUAUUGAGCCUUCUUCCUUUCACUUGCAUUCCAUUUAGACCAAGGCUUUUUCACUGUUUCCUCUUUAACCACCUGCAUAGGCACAAAAGGUCCAUUCACCACUGCAUCCAAAUUCCCAUGUCAAUAGAUUCCAUAAAAAUUUUCAUCCUAAUUUUCCAGAAUGCAUAAUUCAAUCCACCAAACAUAAGAGGUUUAUUGAUAGACGCAGUCCCAGCAAAAGGCAUUUUAAACUUAGACAUAAUGCACAAAACUUGAGUAAAAUACAAGUCCUAACUCUUGAUACCAAUUGUUGAGUAUAUUAGUGUCUAAGUUCAAGAGGGGGGAGGGUGAAUUGAGCUUAUAAAAUUUUCGCAAACAAAAUUGUUUUUCCAGUAAUCUUGAGAAAAAUAACAGAUUGAUUUUAAAAAGAACAGAUUUAUUUUCUGAUUACUUUAUUAAAACCAGAGACUUAACCAAAAUAGUUUUAAAUUUAGUUAGUGAUUUUCCAGAAUAGUGCAGACACCUUAACAACAGGAAGAUUAAGAAAGAUAUUACAACAAGAAUCCAACUUUGAAUCUUUAACAACCAAUCUAGAAAAGAAUAUGAAUCUUGAACAAAGUUAUUUUUAUGAUUUUAUUGUUCUCUUUAAACAGCCAACACACAAAUUCUGGUAUCCACAAGCAAUCAAGAACUUUUUUAGAAUCUUGAAGAACAGUACAUGACAACCCAGAAAGAACAGAUUCGAUUUUAAAUCAACAGAUUUAUUUUGAUUUAAAUGAUUAGUUUUGCAUAAUUGAGUGCAGGGAUUAAGAAGAAAAAGGCACACACAGUUUAUACUGGUUCAAUCAUCAAGAGCUACGUCCAAUCUCACCAUACACCAAGGUGGAUUCCACUAAACCAAACCAAACCAAAAACACUUACAAAACUUUGUGCUUCUUGAACCCUUCAAGAACAAGACAUACAAUGCUAAAAAACACUAUUUUAACAACACUUGUACUUCAAGAAACCCUAUCAAGAAGUGCAUAUACAACCACCUUUACACAAGAAAGAAUAAGGAAAGAAAGCACCUGAAAAGAAGAUGCAAGAAAACCAAAACAACAACACUUUUCUGCAGCACAACAAUGACAGAACCUCAAACCUUGACCAACGCACACAAUGAAUCAACACACUUGAAAUUCUUAAGAGAACCUUUCAAAAAACAUUCAAAGAUUUUAUCUCUCACUGAAAACUCUUUGCUCACUAUUCAAAGAUGUGAUAACACAACUGCUUUUCAUGUGAGAUGUGUCUCUCUUUAUAUAGAAAACAGUUUAUAAUAGUUUUUCAAAAAAUAGUUAAAAGUUGUUAUAAAAAGAACAGGUUGAAGUUAAAAUAAAUGGAUUGUUUUUUGAAAAAACAAAAUAUGAUUUCCAAACCACUUCUAGCUCAGCUUAACGGUAAUAAAAAGGUUGAAACAAAGUUUUUGGUGCCAAAACAGAAUUUUGAAAAAGCUUUAACAAAGGAGCAUCAUUACAGAAAGAGUCUAUUGUUUUAUAAAACAACAAAUUUAUAUUUUUGCAAAAAACUGAUUUUGAGAAAACUUUAGGUACUUUGUAGAAACCUUCCAAGGAACUUCUUGUGCUUGGGUUCCCUACCUUGGUUAGGAUUAUGAGGUAGAUCACAAUGCAAAAAAAGGUUACCUUGACCAACCUCUAACCUAUAUGACCACUAAUUAUUAUAUUCUAAACCUUCAAAGCUAUUUUCUACAUCAAACACUCACUAGGACAUGUUGUGAAGAAACUUCUUCUAUCUUCAACAGUAGUGGCAGUGCAGGAACAGAACAGUGUGGCAACUUAUGGAAAACAAUCUCCCUAUACUCCUUUACACAAAACAGUCUCCCUCCAGAAGAGAAAUAAGAACUGAAACAACUCACGGAACAUGAAUGCAAUGUCCGCAUUUAUACCCUAAAAAUAAAAUGUAUACAUUUAAAAAAAAAAUAUUCAGAACAAUUAUAAGAAAAACAAAGCUUGGAGACGAAGAACACGUUAUCAAACCAAAAAGCUAAAAAUCAUUACAAUGAGAGAAGAGCGUACCUGAGACUAAUUAGAGACAGUGUUCCAAGAGUUGUAUUUGAUCGUUGAGCAGAAACCCAAGGCAUGAAUGUGCAAAAUGCACCGCAACUCUGGAAAUGAGAAAUGGAGAAGAAGAAAACCAAAUUUAAAAAAUCAAAUAGGGAAAAACAAAAAUGAAUACCAAAUAUAACAAAAAGCAAAGUGAUAAAUGUAGCUUCAAUUCAGAGGGAAGAACGAAGAAGUUGAAAGUGAUUUUCUUGGGCAAAAACAUAGUGAGAAAUGAAGCUUCAAUUCAGAGGGAAGAACGAAGAGGUUGAAAAUGAUUUUCAGGGAUCGAGGAAUGUGUAAAAACGUGAGAGAGUUGAACAAUCGAAGACUGAUUCACCUGUUUCUUAACCUACUUUUUGGCUACCCGCACCCUGUAACCAGAAUAUGGCUCUGGUGUUCAUACCNNNNNNNNNNNNNNNNNNNNNNNNNNNNNNNNNNNNNNNNNNNNNNNNNNNNNNNNNNNNNNNNNNNNNNNNNNNNNNNNNNNNNNNNNNNNNNNNNNNNNNNNNNNNNNNNNNNNNNNNNNNNNNNNNNNNNNNNNNNNNNNNNNNNNNNNNNNNNNNNNNNNNNNNNNUGUGGUUCAUCGAAACUUCAACCAGAAACAUGAGAAGUGUGCCAUGAACAAAAAAAGGGAAAGAGAAAAAUAAAGAAAAAGAAAACUACUAUUUUGGUAAAACUACAAGGACUUAUCAGGGGUUUAAAAAACCCUCCAUUACGUAUAUGUACUAGUGGAGGUUCUUAAAACCUCUGGUAAAAUUAAUUUUUUUUGAAGUGUUAAUAGUGAUCAUAGUUUUUGGUGACUAAUUUCCAUCACUAUUCAAUAAUUUUCUAGUAAUGAAUCCUGUGUGAGAAGUAAAAGAAGAUAAUAUUUAGAUAACCUAUGAAAAUUUCAUUGGUGGGAUAACUUCAAAGAAAACAUUUAUUCUAUUUUCUUGUUAAAUAGACACAAAACCCCUAUUCUAGUAUUAUUAUAAUUUGUAUUGCUUGCAUGUAGGUUUUAAAUUCUAUUCAUUGGACUCGCUAUUGGAUUUGUUAGGAGACGACUUAUGGUCACCUAACAACUUCAAUACUAUAAUCUCUUUGGCCUUAGAUUGUUUAUCACUAUGUAAGAUGGUUUACGCUGAAGUCUUUUUAAUUUGAUUGUUAAAUAAAAGUUAUGACACGUCAAACAAAAUAUUAUUCUUAAUGAAUUCAUUAAAGCCUCUAAUUUCAUUACUCUAGCUACCGCCUCAGAUUCAGUCUUCUCCUCUCAAAUUCUAUUUUUACUGCAUCAAAAUCGCUAGUUAUACUCUACAUCUAAAGUGCUUAUGCUUGUCUAAUUCGAGUUAUAUCUUUCCACAUCGCUAGUUGUUUGUCACUUGGCUUGCUUAAAGGUUUUAAAACUGUUUUUGACUUUGUUAUGUAACUGCCUAACCAAUUCAACCGGUUAAAACGAAUUUUCAACCGGUUGAUUGUGACAUUUCCUAAGAAUUUUUUGAAAACUUGUUAAUUUGUUUGGGGUUUGAUCAAAACUGCUUUGCUCAUUAAUGUUUCCUUAAACGACUAGUUUUUAAGUGCUAUAAAUAAAGCUUUCUUUCAAAACAUAUAUACAAGUUUUACACAGUUUGAAAUCAAAGAGAGAUUGAGAUUAGUUUUUGAUAAAAGUUUUCAAAAGGUUUGCAAGAUUGCUGUUAAGCUUUGCACUGGUACAAGAUCUGAUCAUAGGACUUCCUGGUUUGUGUAAUCUCAGGUCUUUUCUAUUCCUUUCAUGAUUCUUGUUAUUGUACUUUCAUAAACUUGUAAGUGUGUGUGAAAUCCUGCAACGUCAGAGGGUGUUCUGACUUGAGGUGUAAGGUUGCAAAAUGGGUGAGUGGGUCUUGUGGUUUUCAAGGUCACCUCUUUGUGGUUGUGUGUUGUAAUUUGUGAGUGAUUACUAGUGGAACUCAGAGGUUGUUCUGAAAACUGGAUGUAGCUCAAGGUUGAGUGAACCAGUAUAAAAUUUGUUAUGUAAAUCUCUCUAUCUCUAACUCCUUAUAACUGUUUGUUUUAAUUAUGUUUUUGCUGCUGAUAUAAACAACUGAUUAAAACAUAAUUUCAAUCGAUUAAAAUUCUGUAAACAAUUUUUGUAUCAUUGUUUGAUUGCUUUUCUUAAUUGCUUAUUUGUGAUUGUUUGAUAAAGGUUCAUUCUUAUUAAAUCUUUGCGAAAAUCUUUGAUAAACAAUUCAACCCCCCCUCUUGUUUAAGCCAUCAAUUCUUACAAUUGGCAUCAAGAGCUAGGUUUUUGAAAAAUAUUCAAGUUCUGUUUUUUUUUUUCUUCUGAAAAGUCUUUUUUACAUGGCUGACAAGUUGCCCUUUGGGGAAGAUUCUUUCAUAAACAAGUCGCCUCUAUUUUGUGGUGUCAAUUAUCAGUUUUGGAAGGUAAGAAUGAAAAUCUUUAUGCAUUCAACUGAUAAUGGUAUUUGGGAAACAAUUGAAAAUGGUCCCUUUAUACCUCAAGUAUAAAGAGAUGAGGUUUUAAUUGAUAAACCUUCAUCUGAUUGGACUGAGGCUGAAAGAAAGAAAGCAAAGUUUGAAUGGAUUGUUAAGAAUAUAAUAACCUUUGCCUUGAGUUGUGAUGACUUUUUCAGGGUAUCACAAUGUAGCUCAGCAAAGGAAAUGUGGGACAUUCUUGAAGUCACACAUGAAGGGACAAAUGAUGUCAAGAGGGCCAGAAAGCAUGCUCUUAUUCAAGAGUAUGAGCUCUUUAGAAUCCAGAAGGGAGAGACCAUUUGUGAUGUGCAAAAAAGGUUCUCUCACAUAGUAAAUCAUUUGAUGAGUCUUGGUAACUCUUUUGAUUAGGAGGAGUUGAAUAUCAACAUCUUGAAGUGUCUUGAUAGAACAUGGCAGCCAAAGAUCACUGCCAUCUCAGAAUCAAAAGAUUUGACAUCAAUGACAGCUGCUUCCUUGUUUGGUAAGCUUAGGGAGCAUGAGCUUGAGAUGAAUAGGCUGAUUGUCCAAGAAAGUGAGGACAAACACAGCAAAGGCAUUGCACUCAAAGCUUGCAAUCACAAACAACAACAAGACUCAAGUGAGAGUGCUGAAGACACAAUAAGUCUGCUAUCAAGAAAGUUCAGCAAGUUCUUGAAGAAGAAAAGCCAAGCUUCAAAAAGGUAUAGCUCUAAAAAACAUAGUGAUUUUAAUCAUAACAAGUACACUUGCUAUGGCUAUGGUGAAUAGGGUCAUAUUUGUUAGAAUAUAUGGCCUUAAACAAGAGGGGGUGAAUUGUUUAUAAAAGAUUUUCGCAAACUUUGAAGGUAUAAUGAAAGCCAAUGAAGAAUCACAGAUAAAGAAACUAAGGAAAGGAAUGCACAAGGUUUUUUUAAUUGAUUUCCAAAAAAUCAACCGGUUGUUUUUGCGAUUCAACCGGUUGUUAUUAUCAGCAGUUAAUAAAAACAACUUAAAACAGAUAUAUGUGAGACCAGGAAAAGAGAUAAUCACACUAACAGAUUUAUGUUAGAAUAUAUGGCUUUAAAAUAGAGGGGGGUGAAUUGUUUAAAGAGGGUUUUCGCAAACUUUUAAGCCUUGAAUGAAAUUACUUCGUGAAAACCUUGAUUGAGAAACCAGUUUUUCAAAACACAAAGCUAAAAGCACAGCACUAGUAAAACAAUCGGUUGUUUCGCAGAAACAAUUGGUUGUUUAUACCAGUAAACAAAUAUGAAAACUGAAUUUAAAGAGUUAAGGAUAGAGAAAAUGCACACAGAUGUUUAUACUGGUUCACUUUAAACUCAGAGCUACAUCCAGUCUUCUCAGAAACCACUGAGGAAUACCACUAAGCAAUCAAACCUAGAUCAAUUACAACACAACCAAGAAAGUGACCUUGAUCCCCUCAAGACACACACUUCUCUUGGCCAACACACCAACACUAAGAAUGCUGAUCUUGAUCCCCUCAAGAACACACAACACUUCUCAGCAAACACACAAACAAACUUGUUCAGACAGAAUACAAGGAUUACACUUGUUACAGAAGGAAAUCUGAAAUCAAUACAAGCAGAAAUCCUCUCUCACACUCUUUGAUCAAUCACAAUCUCUAAGCAAUCUCAACUCUUUGAAAAACUCAAAAACUUGUAUUCAAAAUCUUAUUACUCAAAUCUGUUUUUCUGAAUAUAUUCAAAGAUAUUGUUUGUUAUCAAAUCUUAACAAACUUAUUCAUUGCAUUUAAUGAUUGGUCAAAGCAUUUAAAGGCUGGAGCGUAAAUAGUUAAAGCAUUUAAAGCUCAAUCAAAGCUAAAACAGUUUUUCUGUUAUGGUACCAAAACAAACAAUCGGUUGUUUCCUCGAAUCAAUCGGUUGUUUUGGUUUUAACAGCUCAACCAUUUGAAAAACAGUUUUCAACCUUUUCUAAAAACAUCCAAGUAUAAAACAAUCGGUUGUUUCGACAAAACAAUCGGUUGUUUUUCACUUAGUUUGAAAAACACUUUUUCUUUUAAAAGAUUGAGAAUGCCUAUGCUUUGGAUUCAAUCUAGAGUGGAUUACAAAACUCAAACUACCCCAGAUCCUAACUAAGACAACUCAGCAACAACAAGCACAGCUAAGCCUUCAACAUCCUUCAAAGGGUUUGGAUUCUUCAAAGCUUGAACACCACUUGGUUCAACAAUUUAUACUGGUUUACUCUUACACCAAGAGCUACAUCCAGUCCCCAAAAACUACUGGGUAAUCCACUAUGCAAUCAAAACCAGAUUACAAACACCACACACCAAAGUAGUGACCUUGAACCCCUCAAGACACACACUACCUUUGGUAAACCACACCAACAAUGUUGAUCUUGAACACCUCAAGAACACACAACACUCCUUGGCAAAACAAAUACAAAAAUACAGUAAUCAAGGAAGAAGGGAAUAGAAUACACCUGAGUAUUAAAAAGCUUAAAGUUCAGAAUUACAACCCAAUCCUAUUCCACACACUUAAGAAUGAUCCAAAGCUCUUUCAAAUUUUGGAAAAACUGUUUUGAUAAACUCUUUCUCUUACGCCAAGAUUAGGGGCGUAAAACCACCUUUAUAUAGACCAACCAAGUGGUAAAAAACAUUUAAUAAAGGAGCCAAGGUAGUUAAGAUCAUUUAAAACAUAUUAAAACCACUUAACAGAAUUCUGUUAAGGUUUUCAGAAAAAUAAUUGAUUGUUUUGUCGAAACAAUCGGUUGAAUUGACUUGAUGAAGUCAAGCUUUUCAAAACCUUUUAAAAAACAACUAAGGUAAAACAACCCGUUGUUUCGAAAAAACAACCUGUUGAAACUACUAAGGUAAAACAACCUGUUGUUUCAAAAUUUCAACCUGUUAAAAUUUCAACAGCUUUUUAUAAAACCCAUCUUUUCAAAAUAUUAAAGAUUCAAAUGAACUUGGAUCAACUUAAGGAGUGAAUUAACAAGUUUCAAACAACUAAACAACACACACACACACCCAUCAGCAAGGUCUUCAAGCUUUCCUCUUGGAUUUGGUGACAUCAAAGCAUCUUGUUCAACAAUAUCAAGGCAUAAUGCCCCAACUAUGAAAGCAAAGAUAGGGCAGAAUUCAAAAAUGAGAAAAGAGGAAAAGCCAAGAAGGCAUAUGUUGCAUGGGAUGACAAUAAGGUAUCUUUCUCUAACUCUUUUGAUGAUUAAGAAGCAAACUUGUGCCUUAGAGCAUCUGUAUCUAGUAGCAUGAGUUCAUCCUUUUCAAUCAAAGGUAACAACUAUUAUCAAUUGGUUGAAGCUUUUAAUGAAACUCAUGAAGAGGCAAACCGAUUGGCUCUUUCUCACAAUCAAUUGAAAGGUCUAAAUAACUAGCUGGAAAAUAGAGUCAUGUCACUAGAACAAGAGUUGAGAAAAACAAUGGAAGAUUUUCAAAAACUUGAUUUGAUUUACAAGAACUCAGCUUGUAGUUGUGACUCAAAGUUUUGUGAAAAUUGUGAAAAUCUUGAAAGAAAUAUUAAUUAUCUUUUGAAAACCAUGGACAAACUUACAACUGGAAAAUCCAACUUUGAAGAUGUUCUUGCAUCUCAAAAUUGUGUUUUUGGGAAAUUUGGUUUAGAUUUUUAUCCACAAAGCAAAGGAAAUGGGGUUUCAAAACCUUUUUCAUCUGUACCAAAAAAACAAUCGGUUAAAAGGUCGAUUCAACCGGUUGUUACAUGCUUCUAUUGCAUGAAGAAAGGUCAUUCAGUUAGGUUCUGCAGAUUUCAAAAGUCUCUUGUUCCUAAAGGGAUCUUUAAAUGGAUUCCAAGAUGUUUUAAUGGUUCCAAAGACAAGUUUAACACAAAGGGUCCCAAGUUCUUUAAGGGAUCAAAUCUUGUGAUUUAACAAGUUUUGUUUUGUAGAUUUUUUUACUCUACUUGAAGGGUCAGAAAGAUCAGGACCUCAAGAAGUUUUGUUUGCAAGUCAAAGUCUUGUCCUGACUCUAUGUACUGCUUACCUUUGUGUAUCUUAAAUUUGAAGGAUAAUUUCUGGUUCUUCUCAUUGUUGAACAUUAGUUCUUAAAUCCAAUUCUAUGUUGUUCUCUAUGUUUAUGCUUGAAUUAUAAUUAACUUGUAUUUCUUAUGUUCUUGAUACAAAUUUGUGUGAAUUAUAAACCUUGAUGUUUGAAUAUAGCAUGGCUGUUUCAAAAUCUGAUUUUCUCAAAAAAUUUCAUCAGUGCAGAAAUUCAACUGAUUGUUUCCUCGAAACAAUCGAUUGUUUUCUCUCUGUCAGCACUUGGCAAAUCUAUUUUUCAUUUCUAAGCUCUGAUUUGUAAUUCUGUUCAAACCUAGUGAUAUUUGUGGUCAAUAUUGUAUUAAUUACAUGUUUGAAUACAAAUUACCUCUACUAUAACUGCUCAUUACGAAUCAGAUUCCUCUUAAUCUUGGGAAUUAAAACUGCUUUUACAGUUUGGUCAAACCAACAUGUGAUUUUCUGUACUUUCUGUUUUGACUGACAUAAACUGCUUUAUGGUUCAGAUUUGAUUUGUUUUUCUGUUUUGAAAACAACCCACAUAAUGCCAACUUUGACCAAGGGUUUUGGCUAUAUAAGUAAAACAUUUAGCUUUAGUUUUUCACACAAACAACCUGUUGUUCUUCUUUUUUCUCUACUCUAAGUUUUCUCUGCAGUGUGCUAAAGUUCUUCCCUGAUUUGAGCUAUGGCUGGAACUCCUCCAUCUGCUAAAAGGAUGAAAACCAGAGAUGUUAGGAGUGGUGGGAAGCUUGAAGGAUGGUUCUCAGGAGAAUCUGAACUCAUCGACAAAUACCUACAUGAAACAAGUAGGAAAAUUGUCAAUACACCCAAGUUUGUCUCCUUCACUUGGAUGAAGCAACAAAAUUUGUCUACUGUGAGAAGCCUCCUCAAGAAGCAAGGAUUGAAGAGAUUUCUUGAGCUCACUAGAAACAUUUAUCCAGAUUUGGUGAAGGUAUUUUAUACUAACCUUCAAUUUAAUGGUGACUCACUUGUCUCUCAUGUGAAAGGUGUAUACAUGGUCAUUACCAAUUAUGUGUGGACUGUUGUGACUGGAUUGAAGUUCUCUGGGGUUAGAAUCAACAGAGGAAAUCUAGGGAUAGUUGAAGAAUUCAACAAGAUGCAAUUCUACAAGAGUUGUCUCAAGAAUCCCCUCUCCAAAGUAAUAAAUUUUUCUGUUUGAGGGUUAAAGCUUGAUGAAAGGCUCAUGGCCUUCAUUAUGUCAUGGAUCAUCACACUAAGGGGGAGCAAUCACUCCAUUCUUUCCGACGAAGACUUGCUGCGGAUCUAUUGCAUUAUGAAUAAAGUGAAGAUCAAUUGGAUCCACACCAUCAAGGAACACAUGCAAAAAUCCAUAAGGUUAUGUGACUUCCAUUAUCCCUAUGCAAUUUUAAUCUCUAAAUUUCUACACUAUUUUGAAGUGGAUAUUGAAGAAGAGCUAGCUGAAAUUAUCAAGCCCUCAAGUGAGAUUAACAGUGGAUCCCUAAGCAAGAUGGGAUUUACUAAAAUUGGUGGGAGAUGGGUUAGCAAAGAUGGUGACUAAGCUGGCCCAAGUGGAACCAAUGAUGGCGAGGAACCUGAAGAUGCAACAACUGAAUAGGAACCUGCUGCUGAGACUCAAGAGGUUGGUCCUAGUGAUGCUUACAUGGGAGAGAGGAUGACCAUAAUGUCUCAUUUUGAAGGAUUAAUGAUCAACCGCAUGGACACAUUUGUUGAAAAUCAAAGGAAUCUCCAUGAUUUGUGUGAGUCAAGGUUCAAUCAUAUGGAUUCAUGUUUUUCAAACCUGGAUGAACAGAUAGAAGAGGUUCAAAAUCAGCUUCUGGAACUACAAUUUGAAAGGGAGAACAAUCCUUCUUUCUAAUUUACUAGUUUAAAUUUCUGAACAAUUUAUUUUUCUUUUAUGUUGUUUUUAAUCCUUCCUUUUGUCUAUUUGUGGGGACAAAUAGGGGAAGAAGUGUGUUGGGAUUUGUAAUGUUCUUAUUAUUUGUGAUUUUUCUGCCUUUGAACAUUGCUUAACAUUGUUAUAACUGGUUUAAAUUUGAAAUUUUACAACUGAUUAAACUUUGAUACAAAAUUUCAACUGGUUAUUCCUGCGAAUUUACCGAUUGUUUAUUUGUCUUUGCACCUUUGUAUGUUGUCUGGUUUCUCACACUGAUUUGGUUGAUGUUCCUCUCUGGAAAUCACCUAGUGGGAACUGGUUUGUGGUGCUUGUUUGAUUGGAAUAAUUUAUAAUGUAUUUCUAUGUUUUCUCAUGAAUGUAGGUUGUACAGAUUCUAAACAAGAACAUUCCAAAAAGCAUCCCAAGGAUUUGUCUCCAUCAAAUAGGGGGAGAUUGUUGAGCAUGGGGGCUUUGAUGUUUCAAAUCCAUGAUGAAGCUUGAAGUGGUGCUGUUGUUGGUUUGGGUUUAGAAUAAAGUGUUUAGAAUCUAUGUAAAGAUCAUUUCUUGACCCUUGCACAAAGCUUGCCCAAUCUGUUUUAAAAGGCAAAGUGUUUUUCUAAGCAAAAGAGAAAAAAACCGGUUGAAUUAUCGAAAUAAUCCGUUGUUUGUCACUUGGCUUGCUUAAAGGUUUUAAAACUGGUUUUGACUUGGUUAUGUAACUGCCUAACCAAUUCAACCGGUUGAUUGUGACAUUUCCUAACAGUUUUUUGAAAACCUGUUAAUCUGUUUUGGGUGUGAUCAAAACUGCUUUUGCUCAUUAAUGUUGCCUUAAACGACUAUUUUUAAGUGCUAUAAAGCCUUUCUUUCAAAAAUAUAUACAAGUUUUACACAGUUUGAAAUCAAAGAGAGGUUGAGAUUAAUUUUUGAAAGAAGUUUUCAAAAGGUUUGUGAUCCUGCCGGUUGACUUAGCGCAAGAGCGUUGCCUCGUCACGAUCUUCCUCACCAGCUUGACACCACGUGCCCUCCAAGUCCACUCCACAGAUAGCCUCUCUGAGAACCUGAAAAACACACAGUGGCGCCUCUGCGGCCGGUGGCGCUCCGACGCUCAAGUUAGUGACAAGAACACCCAAAAACUAAGAGAGAAUAUGCUUUGUAGGACCGUACUGUAGGCACACAACCCUAGCAGUAUCAGCCGUAAUGAAAACGUACCUUUGCAAAUUCUGUUAAGGUUACCUUUAUAGCUAGGUUUCUUCUCUCUCCAGGCCGUUAUGCUUUUGGACGCGUGGCUCGCAUCCAGCCCUGCACGUGUCACCAUCUGGACUGGGAUAGCAGGUAGCACCCAGCCCUACACGUUUCGUCAUCUGAGCCAAGGCAACUUGAGCGUCAUUUCUCCAUUGCUCCCAACCCUACACGUGUCAUCAUCUAGGUUGGAGUAACUGGUAACAUCCAACCCUACACGUGUUGUCAUCUGGAUUGGGGCAACUUGAACGUCAUUCUUGUGUAGUAACCAGCCACACAGCUAAGUCCUCUACUCAAGGAUCAAGCUAGCGCACAAUGCGCUGUGAAACAUCACUCGACAAGGCGAGUAUCGGAUGCAACAAAGUGCAUCAUCUCUGUGAUACCGCUCGUCGCAAGUGCCACCUCCCCUACUGCUACGCCAUGCAUGCUCUAGCUGAGGAAACCUUGCAACCAACGAAUGUCCCCUCUGGGAAUCCUGUCGCUGAUGGGCAAUCUGUUCCCUUCAACCCACUCAGCCUUCACGCCCCAUGCUGGCGCAACAGUCAUCUUACUGAACUUACACACUUGGGAUUACCCUUCUGAGCCUCUAACAGUUUUAACUGAGUUUACUGGGAGAUCCGACGAUGUGCUCCUCGUGGCGACGUGUAAACCACCCGAGCUCCUAGCAUUCCUCGGCGAUCUCUCACCACCGGAUCUCCUAGCACUCUCAUACGGUGAUUGCGUCGCAACUCUGGCGACCGCCAGUCACGCACACUAGAGAUCGGAGAACGCCAAUUCAGCGUAACCGGCGACUAUGCUCACUUCUGAACCAUUCAUCUUUUCUAGCCUACGUGUUCCACUGAGCACGCCCCACCCGGGCACGCGCCAGACACGUCAUCGCACCCGAUGACCUGGUCGGUACACAAGCCCCCCAGUCUCGAGCGGUGACUUGUUCAGCGAGGAGACUAAAGAGGUUUAAAACUGGCGGCCUACGUGGCUUUGCGCGUUGGCGCUAAGACUGUUCACUGACUCGGCAUUUCACCAACUCCUUCGAUCAGUCGACACGUGGACCCAAAGACGGCCAUUGUUCACUGCCAUUUGCGCUUCUCACAACGUUCGAAACCCUUAAACCCUUCGCGCUAUUCACUGUUUCAUUAUCGUUCUUCGUCUCCAAGCAUUCUGAACACUCUCUCUACGAACUACAAACCCUACGUCUCCCUCAAUCUUCAACUUCCUUCAACACUCAUCCGAUCGUCAAAAGGUAACUCUUUUACGCCUUCUACUGAUAUUUGUUGCAUUUUAAUCGGUUUGCAUCAUCCAUUAACUACUUGGAGCAUACGCCGUGGGUUGUUUCUCUUUUUUCUCGUAACUUAGAGCUUCGUUCCUGAUAGCGUCCUUCCCAGCGAAUCCUCAUUCGUUCGUUCUGUCUUCUUCGUCUUCGAUCGAGUCAUUCUUUUGCUAUCCUCAUUUCCUCCAUUUUCUUUCCUUUGCAGUUUCUGCGAUGGCUCAGACAAAGUCCACCUCUAACCCUCCUUCCUCAUCGCGAAACCCUCCUCCCAAUACUCGUAGGGUCGCCACUGGGACAAACCCUCCACCAACACGCAACCCCCCACGAGCCUCUGGUGCUCCUUCCUCACAGGCUGAAAGGCCUGCCUCAUCCCAUGCCAAUCGCAACCAGGCAACCCCUCCGCAGGCCCGGGGAGCCUCCCUUCCUCCACCAGACUACCAAAAGCUCUACCCUUGGGCCUCCCCGAUUCUACUGAAGGAAACUUCAUCGAUAAAUACUGAGGUGGGGGUGCAUCGACUGAGGAAAGGGGAUCAAUCUAAUCUCUCAUUUCACAAGGAGCACGAUAGCAAAAUGACAGUGCUGCCUUGCCCUCCUGGAGAACCGAUUUGCGUGGACGAUAAGGAGGGCAACAGCGAGUCGUUCUGCUUCAUCUACGCCACGCUGUUCAAGAAGGUGAAACUUAGGUUUCCUUUCACUCACUUUGAGAGGGAGUUGUUGACCGAACUCGACAUCGCCCCUGCCCAGCUCCAUCCCAACAGCUGGGCAUUCGUGAGGGCAUUCGAGAUUAUUUGCGCGCACUUGGGGCUACCAGCUUCGAUGGAUGUCUUCCUCUUUUUGUUCGAGGCAAAGAAUCCUGGAGAUCGCCCCUGGGUCAGCCUGAACGGGAUUGCUGGGAGGUCAAUCCUCUCCAUCUUCUAGCAAUCCUACAAAGACUGGAAGGGGAAGUUCGUCAAGGUGUGCCAGAACAACCAAGACCCUUCACUACUUGAUGGCUUCCCCUUGUAUUGGGUAAACAAGGGGCACAAAGACUUCAAAGACAACUCCAGGAGACCAAGGANNNNNNNNNNNNNNNNNNNNNNNNNNNNNNNNNNNNNNNNNNNNNNNNNNNNNNNNNNNNNNNNNNNNNNNNNNNNNNNNNNNNNNNNNNNNNNNNNNNNCUGGAAGAAUGUGGCCUCUGCCAACAUCACCCUCCCCUCUGCCCAGAUAAUCUCCUUCGAAUUCCUUGAGGACCAACUCGAAAUGUACAUAGGUUAGCCCCCUUCCCAACACUAAGAUUCUCACUUCGUGUAUAAGCUGACCUAGGACUCUUACCACUCUGUCUUUCUGUUGUUUACUUAUGUUAUCCCCGUAUGUAUAUGCCUGCAUGCUCUGUUUUUGCUUUGGGGCAUACUCAUUGACUUUACCUUGUGCAGACACAAUGUUGGGCAAAGGAAGACUGGCUGAACUAAGGGCGAUCGCCCGAGCCCACGAACUCGCGGCAGGCUUCCAAACGAUCCCGAACUCUGUUGCGGAGAUCGCCGCCGCCCAGGGUCAAUCCCCACCAGCUGGCCCAACUGCUGCUGCUGCUCUUCCAGCCCCCCAACGCAAAAAGCUACCUCUUAGGAAGGCCAAAAGGAAAUCCCCCAGGGUAGUAUCUGACGAAGAGGCGGAUGAGAGCACUGAGGAUGGGCUAGUCUGCAAAAGAAGGAGGGUGGCGGUUCCCGAGCCCCCAGCAAUUGAGAGCGCCGUUCCAAACUUCAUCGAGGACCCUCCCAGCGCCUCCACUCCAUUUGAGUCCGCUGGGGGCGUUCCUGUUUCAAACGCGUCAAUCGCUGAGGCUGCUCCUGAUCAACUCGCUGAUACGCAAGCCUCCUCACAAGCCGCCGAGGAGCCGCCUGCCUCACCACCACGCCUCAAAGCUCUCCCCGUCGUUCAACCUUGCGAGGGUGGUGGUGAACACCAACCUUCGCCUCCACUAGCAACCUCAAGCCUCCCAGCCGCUCUUCAAGGAGCUUUGAAGUCCUUCACCGUGCGCCUAAGUGCCAUGGUUGACGAUUGUCUUCCCCAAAUCGUCGGCGAAGGGCUCAAAGACUCCCUGGAGAAGUUCGAGCUCGACAAUCGGAUCAACCAGGAGGUGGCAAGCACCGCGAAAGCUGAAGCCGAAAAGACCAAGUGCGAUAUGAUGAUGCAAGGCUUGGAGUUUUCGCGAGUUGAAAAUGCCCUCAAGGACGAGCUCCAGAGUGUGCGGCAAGAUAACAAAGAGCUGCGCAAAAAGCUCCAUGACAAACUCCAAGACGCUGUCGAGCUGGAGAGCAAGAUCGUUCCUUUGAGGGAGAAAAUUGCCGCGCUGUAGGAGGCAAAAGAGGCUGACGCUCAGAAGAUGGCCAACCUGGAAAAGAGGUCAGUCGAGAGAGAGACCCUUCUGGGAAAGGUUGAGCAAGAUCGGGAUCAGGCCUCCAAGGAACUUAGUGAAACUGUUGCUGAACUUGCUCGAGUUCGCGAGGAGAAUAGCGGGCUCAAGAAGAAGGCCGACGAGCUCGAGCUUGAAGUCACCCAGGUUCGUGAAGAGAACAAUGGGUUCAAGACGAAGAUCGACGAGCUUCAGCUUGAGGCUGCCCAGGUCCUAACCUCCGGCUUUGGCGCUGCUUUGGAGCAGUUUGCUUGCAAAUAUCCUGACCUCGAUCUUUCUGAGUUCUCAGUGUACAACGAGGUGGUGGACGGCAAGAUCGUACCCCCAGUUGACUUAUCGCCUUGAAACUUCUUGUAUUUAACUUUGACUUGUAUGUAAUAACUUUUAUUGUGCUCAAACUGUUCGAUAUUCAUGUGCACGUGCAUAUAUAUAUAUAUAUAUAUAUAUAUAUAUAUAUAUAUAUAUAUAUAUAUAUAUAUAUAUAUAGCCUUCUAAUUUACCUGCUGCGCGAUCAACUGGUUUAACUAACAUAACUGGCGAAACUUGCUCAACUGCGUGAACUCAGCAAUACUUGAUCUUAACCCUCCGUGUACCGCUUUUAACACGAGCAAAUUGUUAACCUUAUAACAAACUUGGCAAACUGUUAACUCAAAGUAAAUUUGAGCAACUAUCAACUCUUCGUCGAUGGCAUUCGAUAAAACUCGCGAACUUAGGGCCACGAACCUUAACGUAAGGUCACUUACUAGGCAGCAGGUUUUGACUCAAACUAGUGUUAAAAUACAGUUUACCUGAUCUGCCGAGUGAAGUGCCCCGUACGUCUGUCAUCGCCCGGAACUCUUCUGACCUGGCACUCGCCGCACAACCCCUUCACUGUCUCAACUUCCACGCCAUAAGGUUCUGGCGAUGUUACCUUUCUUCUUUUCAUGACUUGAUCAUUGUUCCCUCAUCUGGGGGUAGAGGCGCCUUUCGAAUCCUUCUCUACCUCCCUGAGUUUCAGAACAAUGAUCUGGUCUUACUGGGUCAACAUUGAUGUUUCACUUAAAGGGGGAAAGGCAUUUUCCUUCCCUUCCCACCAUUUAAGGUCACAAACACCCCUGACCUUUCAGCUCAUCUUGCCUGGACUCACUCGGUGAGAAGGACUUUAUCUUGCCUGAACUCACUCUAUGGUGAGAAGGACUUUAUCUGGUGCCUCAACUUGCCCAGGGUGUACAUCUCCACCCCCCCUGGAUGCACUGAGGACUUUUAAUCUUGCCUCCAUCUGCUGGUGCAGAGAGGUCUUUUAAUCUGUUCUCGUUUGCACUCGCACAAAGACAAGGGGGACUUUAUCUCUUUCUCGCCUCAAGACGCGCGAGGGCGUUGAGGUCUUUAAUCAUUGUUGGUGCCUCCGAUCGCCGAAAGGCGACGAGGUCUUUAAAACUUUUAACUGAUGCCGCCGAUCGCCGAAAAACGAUGGGGACUUUAAAACUUUUAACUGAUGUCGCCGAUCGCCGAAAAACGAUGGGGACUUUAAAACUUUUAACUGAUGCCGCCAAUCGCCGAUACUGUUGCCCUAGAUNNNNNNNNNNNNNNNNNNNNNNNNNNNNNNNNNNNNNNNNNNNNNNNNNNNNNNNNNNNNNNNNNNNNNNNNNNNNNNNNNNNNNNNNNNNNNNNNNNNNNNNNNNNNNNNNNNNNNNNNNNNNNNNNNNNNNNNNNNNNNNNNNNNNNNNNNNNNNNNNNNNNNNNNNNNNNNNNNNNNNNNNNNNNNNNNNNNNNNNNNNNNNNNNNNNNNNNNNNNNNNNNNNNNNNNNNNNNNNNNNNNNNNNNNNNNNNNNNNNNNNNNNNNNNNNNNNNNNNNNNNNNNNNNNNNNNNNNNNNNNNNNNNNNNNNNNNNNNNNNNNNNNNNNNNNNNNNNNNNNNNNNNNNNNNNNNNNNNNNNNNNNNNNNNNNNNNNNNNNNNNNNNNNNNNNNNNNNNNNNNNNNNNNNNNGUGGACAAAUCUGCAUCGGUCUUGCCCCUUCUUCUGCUGGGCGCGCUCUGACCCUCGGCGCCCUCAGAGUUUCCUGCGUUAGGGACCUAUGACUUCUCGCCAGUCUUCCCAUUGAUCUACAAACGUGGAGAACUUGGUGGUCUGCCAUGAAUGCUCGAGGCGCUUUCAAAGUUUCUUGAAUGACAGUCCUCUGCCUACCCCCCUUGCCCGAACUGGCGAGCUUGGCUAGCAAGUCAGCUCGGGCAUUCUGUUCUCUUGGCACGUGCACCACUUCAAACGAGCUAAAGAUCUUCUUAGCUCCUGCACGUACUCCAAGUAGACUGCCAUCUGCGGGUCCUUGGCUUGAAACUCGCCGGUUACUUGUCCCGUGACCAACAGCGAGUCGCUCUUGGCCAUCAGCACUCUCGCCCCCAUUUCCUUAGCCAGGAAGAUUCCAGCGAUCAAAGCCUCAUACUCUGCUUGGUUGUUGCUUGCUUUGAAAGCGAACCUCAAUGAUUGCUCUAUCAACACUCCGUUGGGCCCUUCCAAGAUGACCCCAGCCCCGCUGCCCAGCUGGUUGGACGACCCAUCAACAGAGAGUACCCAGCGAAAGUCACCCUCGGCGUUUUGUGCCACCUCAAAGGACAAUUCGACCACGAAAUCGGCGAAGAGUUGCCCUUUGAUCGAUCCCCGGGGUUCAUACUUGAUGUCGAACUCCGAAAGCUCGACCGCCCACUUCACCAUCCUUCCAGCCACAUCGGGCUUCUUCAAAACCUUCUGGAUCGGUAGAUUAGUCAUCACCAGUACCGUGAAGCUCUGGAAGUAAUGGCGCAAUCUCCUCGCCGAGAAUACAACCGCUAAUGCUGCCUUUUCUAGGGCCUGGUACCUUACCUCCGGGCCUUGCAGCACCUUGCUAACGAAAUAUAUGGGCCUUUGGGUCUGGUCCUGAUCCUGCACUAGCACUGCGCUGAUCGCCCUCUCAGUUAUGGCAAAGUACAGCCUGAUGGGUGUUAUGUCUUGGGGCUUGCACAGAACUGGAGGGCUCGCCAAAUAUUCCUUGAGCUUUACGAAGGCCUCCUCACACUCCUUUGUCCAAACAAAUCUGUUGUUUCUCUUCAAACAUUGGAAGUAUGGGUGACCCUUCUCUCCGCUUGCCGACACGAAUCGGGACAGAGCGGCCAUCCGCCCCGUGAGUUGUUGCACCUCCUUCACAUUGGCGGGGCUCCUCAUUGCCAAAAUGGCGGCGCACUUCUCGGGGUUAGCCUCAAUUCCCNNNNNNNNNNNNNNNNNNNNNNNNNNNNNNNNNNNNNNNNNNNNNNNNNNNNNNNNNNNNNNNNNNNNNNNNNNNNNNNNNNNNNNNNNNNNNNNNNNNNCCCUGACAGAAGAAACCCCAGAAACUUCCCUACUUCUACACCAAAAACGCACUUUUCAGGAUUCAGUUUUAGCUUGUACCUGGCUAUUGUGGUGAACAACUCUUCCAAGUCUGCGACGUGCUUGUCUUUCUCCAGGGACGUCACGACCAUGUCGUCGACGUAUGUCUACACAUUCUUCCCGAGCAUAGGCGCGAGCACCUUGUCCAUCAGCCUUUAGUACGUGGCCCCUGCAUUCUUCAACCCGAAGGGCAUCACCCUGUAGCAAUAACAUGACCUUUCCGUCAUGAAAGCGGUCUUCUCUUCGUCCAUGGGGUGCAUUUUGAUUUGGUUGUACCCCGAGAAGGCAUCCAGGAAGCUGAGCAGCUUGCACCCUGAUGCACUGUCUACCAGGGCGUCAAUGCUUGGCAAAGGGUAAGAGUCCUUUAGGCAGGCCUUGUUCAAGUCUGUAAAGUCAACGCACAUCCGCCAUUUUCCACUGCUCUUCUUGACCAGGACGACGUUGGCGAGCCAUUCUGGAUAUUGGAUUUCCCUGAUAUGGCCCGCUGCAAGUAGUUUUCGUGUCUCUUCUUUGAUCGCCUGUCUCUUCUCCUCAUUGAAUUUUCUUAUUCUUUAGCGGAUGAGUCUAACUUGGGGGUCCAUUGCCAAACGAUGGCACAAGAAAUUGGGGUCAAUCCCUGGCAUAUUGGAAGCAGCCCACGCAAACGCAUCCAAGUGUCUACUAAUUACUUCGGCGAUCUGGUCUUGCGUCUUGCUAUCCAGGGUUCUUCCCAACUUAAACACCUUACCACUGAUCUCCUUCUCGAGCCAUUCCUCUACCGGCUGAGGCUUCCUCUCGCUGGCGAUCAGCGCCCUCGCGAUACCGGUUUCUCUGGCGGUCUCCGAGCAGUUCCUCUCCGACCUUGCCUCUACAUUCCCCAUUGGCACGUCGUCCUCGGUGACCACCUCUAUCGUUGCAUCCGAAGCUCGUCGAUGCUCGCGCUCCGGCUCCAUGCUAGGGGGAGGCGUCGUGGUUACGUGGCACACAGACCUCUUGUUCUUAAGGCUAUUUUCAUAACACUUCUUUGCCUCCUUCUGGUCGGAGCAAAUAGUGAUGAUCAUACCCUCCAUAGAUGGCAGCUUGACCUUCAUGGGCCUUGUCGAAGGCACAACUCCUGUUUUGUUGAGCGUCGGCCUCCCCAGCAGUAUGUUGUAUGCUGAUGGCGUGUUUACGACGAGGUACCUGACCUUCUUCGUUCGUGAGGCCAAACCGUCAGUGAAGGUCGUCCUUAGCUCGAUAUACCCCCUCACCUCUACUUGGUCGCCGACAAAACCGUACAAACAGCCCCCAUAUGGUCUUAGCUGAUCAGGGGACAGCUGCAACUUCUCAAAGGUUGGCCAAAACAUCACGUCUGCUGAGCUUCCUUGGUCGACCAGCACCCGGUGGACGGUCCUUCCCGUCGUGACAAGCGAGAUCACAAUAGGGUCGUUGUCGUGAGGCACCACGUCCCUGCGGUCCUCCUUGGUGAACGUGAUGUCCACGUCGGGCGAAUGAUCCUCAAAGACUUCCACUGACAUUAUCGACCUCGCAUACCUCUUUCGUUGCGACGCUGUGCACCCCCCGCCGGAGAAUCCGCCAGCUUUGGUGUGGAUCUCGCCGUGAAUAGGCACCUCGUGCUGUUGCCCUCCGCUACUCGCCGGUUGAGACCCUGAUGCUUGGUCCGCUUGCUUCUCUAGCAAGUAAUCCUUCAGGAAACCACAUUUGACCAGCUCGGCGAGCUGGUGCCCCAGAGCCAAACACGAAUUGAUAGAGUGGCCAAAACUCUUGUGGAACUCGCACCAUGCGUCUGACUUUGGCCCCAAAAUCUUCUCCGCCGUUUUCUCAGGCACUUCGAGCCUGGCAGCUAUGUUUGGGAUGGCGAUCAAAUCAGCCAAACCCAUCACAAACUCAUACCUCCGGGGGCGAUUACUCUCCCUGGGGCGCCCUGGUCCCUUGCUCUUAUUUUUCUUAGGGUCGUAAGGAUGACGCAUCCUUUGAUCCCUCUUUCCCGCCGCUGCCUCCAUUAGCCUCUAAGGUUGUACCCUUGCUUGGGCGUGCGGUUUAGCUGGGGCCACAUUUCCUCUCUUCUCGGUGACCUCGCUCUCAGCGGCGAUGUGAGCCACAGCACGUCGCCAGAUUUCGGCGAACGUGGCGGGGUGGCUCCUAAUGAGCGACUCACUAAAAGGCCCAGGCAACACGCCCUUUUUGAAGGCGUGCACGAACAUCUCUUCUUCCUUUCCUGGCAAACGGACUAUCCGAGCUCCGAAUCUGUUCAGGAAAUCCUUCAAGGACUCCCCUUGGUACUGCCUUAUAUCAAACAAGUUGUAAGACACCAAAGGUGGCGCCUUGUUCACUAUGUACUGCUCAACAAACAUCUUGGAAAACUGUUUGAACGUGGUAAUGUGGCCAGUGGGUAUACUGACGAACCAGUCCAACGCCGUUCCGCUCAAAGUGCUCAUGAACACCUUACAAUACACCGCGUCUGAGCCCCCUAAGAGCAUCAUCUGAGUAUGAAACGCCGUGAGAUGGGCUUCAGGGUCCUCCACCCCAGUGAAAGACGCUUUCACUGCCACAGUGUUAGCCGGGACUACCGAGUCCAUGAGCUCUUGGGAAAAUGGCAUAGGGAAGCUACGUGGUGGGGAUGGGGGUGCAGAUUUGUCCCCUGCCGCACGCUCCUCCCGCUCCUGAAAGGCUUUGCGCAACUCUUCGUUGAUCCUGUUGAGCUCUUCGUUCCUUGCUUGCGAGGCCACCAGCGCCUCGUGCAUCCUUUCCUGCUCAGAACGCGAUGCAGCCACGUUCUCCUGCAGCGUCCUCAUCAUGUCCAUCACUUGCGUCAUGGACACAGCAUCUUCGUCGGUUGAUGGCGCAACUGAACUGGAGCGCGUUGUCCUCAUCCUUCCUCAGCAAACUCAGCAGCUCAAAGAACUCCAAAAGACGGUGGCAACUCCAGGAGUCGACUGCGAUAGCGAGCAGUCGAACAGAAAACACUUGAAGCACCACAAACACAAACUAUGGUUGGGGAAUCACCUUUUAUACGGCCCCACGGUGACCGCCAGAUGAUCCUGCCGGUUGACUUAGCGCAAGCGCGUUGCCUCAUCACGAUCUUCCUCGCCAGCUUGACACCACGUGCCCUCCAAGUCCACUCCACAGAUAGCCUCUCUGAGAACCUGAAAAACACACAGUGGCGCCUCUGCGGCCAGUGGCGCUCUGACGCUCAAGUCAGUGACAAGAACACCCAAAAACUAAGAGAGAAUAUGCUCUGUAGGACCGUACUGUAGGCACACAACCCUAGCAGUAUCAGCCGUAAUGAAAAUGUACCUCUGCAAAUUCUGUUAAGGUUACCUUUAUAGCUAGGUUUCUUCUCUCUCCAGGCCGUUAUGCUUUUGGACGCGUGGCUCGCAUCCAGCCCUACACGUGUCACCAUCUGGACUGGGAUAGCAGGUAGCACCCAGCCCUACACGUGUCGUCAUCUGAGCCAAGGCAACUUGAGCGUCAUUUCUCCAUUGCUCCCAACCCUACACGUGUCAUNNNNNNNNNNNNNNNNNNNNNNNNNNNNNNNNNNNNNNNNNNNNNNNNNNNNNNNNNNNNNNNNNNNNNNNNNNNNNNNNNNNNNNNNNNNNNNNNNNNNUCUAGGUUGGAGUAACUGGUAACAUCCAACCCUACACGUGUUGUCAUCUGGAUUGGGGCAACUUGAACGUCAUUCUUGUGUAGUAACCAGCCACACAGCUAAGUCCUCUACUCAAGGAGCAAGCUAGCACACAAUGCGCUGUGAAACAUCACUCGACAAGGCGAGUAUCGGAUGCAACAAAGUGCAUCAUCUCUGUGAUAUCGCUCGUCGCAAGUGCCACCUCCCCUACUGCUACGCCAUGCAUGCUCUAGCUGAGGAAACCUUGCCACCAACGAAUGUCCCCUCUGGGAAUCCUGUCGCUGAUGGGCAAUCUGUUUCCUUCAACCCACUCAGCCUUCACGCCCCAUGCUGGCGCAACAGUCAUCUUAUUGAACUUACACGCUUGGGAUUACCCUUCUGAGCCUCUAACAGUUUUAACUGAGUUUACUAGGAGAUCCGGCGAUGUGCUCCUCGUGGCGACGUGUAAACCACCCGAGCUCCUAGCAUUCCUCGGCGAUCUCUCACCACCUGAUCUCCUAGCACUCUCAUACGGCGACUGCGUCGCAACUCUGGCGACCGCCGGUCACGCACACUAGAGAUCGGAGAACGCCAAUUCACCGUAACCGGCGACUAUGCUCACUUCUGAACCAUUCAUCUUUUCUAGCCUACGUGUUCCACUGAGCACACCCCACCCGGGCACGCGCCAGACACGUCAUCGCACCCGAUGACUUGGUCGGUACAGUUUGCAAGAUUGUUGUUAAGCUUUGCACUUGUACAAGAUCUGAUCAUAGGACUUCCUGGUUUGUGUAAUCUCAGGUGUUUUCUAUUCCUUUCAUGAUUCUUUUUAUUGUACUUUCAUAAACUUGUAAGUGUGUGUGAAAUCCUGCAAAGUCAGGGGGUGUUCUGACUUGAGGUGUAAGGUUGCAAAGAGGGUGAGUGGGUGUUGUGGUUUUCAAGGUCACCUCUUUGUGGUUGUGUGUUGUAAUCUAUGAAUGAUUACGAGUGGAACUCAGAUGUUGUUCUGAGAACUGGAUGUAGCUCAAGGUUGAGUGAACCAGUAUAAAAUUUGUUGUGCAAAUCUCUCUAUCUCUAACUCCUUAUAAUUGUUUGUUUUAAUUCUGCUUUUGCUGCUGAUAUAAACAACCGAUUAAAACGUAAUUUCAAUCGGUUAAAAUUUUGUAAACAGUUUUUAUAUCAUUGUUGGAUUGCUUUUCUUAAUUUUUAUCUUUGAUUGUUUGAUAAAGGUUCAUUCUUAUUAAAUCUUUGCGAAAAUCUUUGAUAAACAAUUCAGCCCCCUUCUUGUUUAAGCCAUCAAUUCUGACAUUGCCAUCCUAUAUGAUUAUCCCCCAUAUUCAGUAACAUUCGUUAUCACUUAUUAAUGUAGUUUUAGUUUCCUGAUACAUGUUAGUUCAACUCUCUCCUUUGAAAUCAAUCCCCUAAGAUAUAAGCAUUUCAUAACCCCCUUCUAAUCUUCUAAUAUUUAUACUUAUUUUUUUUCAUAUAUCUCUUUCUGGGUUCCCCUCCUCACUCUUCUUCUUUAAAUCGUUAUCUUUCUCUUCCAUGUGGUCUAGUUCCCUAAUUAUAUCCUUCACAUGUGCCCUGAACAUGAACAUGUUACUCCUAAUUGCUUCUCCAAUUUUCAUAUCUUGAUUGGUUGUUCAUUAUCGAUUUUACUCCAAAAUUGUCUAUUGAAAUUGGUAAUAUAUCUCUAUCUAAUAUUGAUUUGCAAAGGAUAUGAAUUGCUAACAUGGUUCUCCUCCUUUAUGCUUGUGUUACCUCUAAUGUGGUUGACGCCUUCCAUUCACGUUGCUUUCUAGACUCCCUUUGCCAAAGCAUUCUACCUCCACCAAAAGAUUGAGGUUGAAUGUGAACUUCCUUUAUCAACUUCAUUAUUCCAUACUUUUCUUCAAUGGUGUUAAAGGGUAGAUAACUACAUCGUUAAUCUUCUGCUACAUCAUUGGUUGAAGCUCCAAGGAAAUCCUCCCGAAUUGGGGUUUGAUUUAGCUUAUGUUCUCCUCUCAUUUUCCCUAAGUCAUUGUUCAUGCUUAGUUUGUGGAGAACUUUAUCCUUAGAUAGUAAUGCCCCUGCGUUGUCCACGUUACAACUUUUGUGGGCGGGUUAAGAUGUUUGGCCCAAAUUUAUGUUGGACCAAGCACUAAAGUUAUUAACUGCUUUAAUUAAGUUGCUCAGUGCCUCUUGUACGGAUUGGGAAUUUGGGGCCAUAGAUAUAGUCAUUUGAUUAUAAGUAUCUGACAAGUUUGAAGUUGCCAAUUUCUUGCUAGGAUUCACAAUGUCCACAAAGCUCUUAUUUCGAAUUGCAAAAUUUCCCGAAGUGAGUCUUGCCUUGGUAACUGCGAUUGUUGACUGCGUUCCUCCAUGGGUGCAACCCUUGGCCAGUGUUAGAAGAAGAGAAGAGGAGAAAGAGUAGCAGCAUUUUCUUCAAGCUUGAUUAUGAGACAACGUACGAUUCAAUGGAUUGGGAGUUCAUCUUUUAUAUGUUACAACAACUGGGUUUCUUUGGGAAGUGGAUUGAUUGGAUAAGAGCUUGCCUAGUAUCCUCGUCGAUCUUGGUGGUAGUUAAUAGUAGUCCUACACAAGUGAUGUGAUCCAAAAACACAUGAAGAUGACCAUGGAUGCUAAAAGUGAAGGGUCAUCUCAACAAGGAAAUAAAGAUGCCAUCAAUAGGAGGAAUGGUCAAGGACCAAAACAUUUGAAGUUCUUCCUAUUAGUGUUCUUAAUAUGGAGGCCCAAGCCCAACAAAAUCCCAAGACCAAACUGAGGCCCAAGCCCAACACAUGAUGCCUGUUGAAUCAAGUGUGUUCAAGCUUUGAAGAAUCCAAAUCCUUUGAGUUUGAUGGAAGGCUGGAUGUGCUUGUUGUUGCUGAGGUGUUUUAGAAUAGGAUCUGGGGUAGAUUAUCUGUGUAAAUCCACUCUUGAUUGAAUCCAAAGCUUAAGCAUUCUCAAACCUUUUUAAUUGAAAGUGUUUUUCAAACUAAGUGAAAAAUAACCUGUUGUUUUGUCGAAACAACCGAUUGUUUUAUACUUAGGUGUUUUGAGAAAGGUUGAAAACUGUUUUUGGUGGUUGACUUGCUGUCAAACCAAAACAACCGAUUGAUUCGAGCAUUCAACCGAUUGUUUGUUUUGGGACAAUAACAGAAAACUGUUUUGUGCUUUGAUUAAGCUUUAAAUGAUUUUAUAACUGAAUGCGCUCCAGUUUUAAAUGCUUUGACCAGUCUUUGAAAGCAAUAAAUAGCUUGUUCAGAUUAUGUAACAAACAAGAACUGAGUAUUAAUCAUAGAAAAACAAAUUUGAGUUUUUCACCGAUUUUUCUUUUCAAGAGUUGAAGAUUGCUUUGAUCAAAAGAGUAUGGAAUAGGAUUUUCAUUUGUAUUAAUUUCAGAUCAUUCUAUAACAAGUGUAAUCCUUCUGUACUUUGUGUAAACCCUGUUGUGUGAGGCUGAGAAGUGUUGUGUGCUCUUGAGGUUGUCAAGAUCAGCAUUCUUGGUGGUGUUUGUGCUGAGCCAAAGGAAGUGUGUGUCUUGAGGGGAUCAAUGUCACUUCUUUGGUGGUGUUGUAAGUAAUCUAGGUUUGGUUACUUAGUGGAUUCCCCAGUGGUUUAUGGGAGACUGGAUGUAGCUCUUGGUUUAAGAGUGAACCAGUAUAAACCUGUGUGUGUAAUCCCUUUAUCCCUUAAUGAUGGCAAAUUCAUGAAGCUCUUCUUAGAAUCAUGUGAAAGAUGGUGCGGAAGCCAUGGAUGUGUAUGUGCAAGAUCCUCCUAGGAGCUAUGGUGAUCUUGAAGGUGCAUGAUAUGUAUGGGAUUAGGGAGGUUCGGCCAGCCCUAUGGUAAGUGAGGAAAAUGAAGAUUAGAGCCUAGAAACUAGGUAGAAGCAAAGCAUGGCACAAUGUUGGCAGCAUAACUUUACUCACAAUAAUCUUGAAAAUACAAGGUGUAGGCUCCUCUUUUUAUAGGCUAAAGAGGACCAUAAUGCAACCCUAAUGCUAAUCAAAAUGAAAUGCAAAUUUACAUCACAUGGAGCACAUGGCCAUGUGGAGAAUCCUUCUAGAAAGUGACCAAAUCUUUAGCAAAUCUAGGUCAAGUCUCAUGGAAUCAAGUUUAUGCUAUUUACAUCACAACUAAUACUAAGCUACCCCUAAUGGGCCUUCAUGUAGCAUAAACAAAUCUGCAUGGAUUCGCUUGGCCAUGGGCUUAGCAAUUUGGUCCUAGACGCUCCUUUCAUUGGCCUAGACGCUCUCCACCUUGAGCUAGACGCUCCUCCCCUUUGGCCUAGACGCUCCUCCCUUAGCCCUAGACGCUCUUGGUUUGGCUUUGGAUGCUCAUGUCUUGGCUUUUGUCUUUCUUGUGAAGUUGUGCUUGGCCCUCUUCCAUCACUUAAACUCUUUAAUUUCAGUUUAUAUUUGUUAACUAGUAUAAACAAUCGAUUGUUUCUGCGAAACAACCGGUUGUUUUUGCGAAACAACCGAUUGUUUUUUUGGUGUUGUGCUAAAUUGCUUUGUGUUUUUGGGCAAACUGAAUUCUGAAUCAAGUUUUCUCAAAGGAAUUUCAUUAUAGACUAAAAAGUUUGCGAAAACCCUCUUUAAACCAUUCACCCCCCCCCCCCCCCGCCUCUAGUUUAAAGCCAUACAUUCUAACAAUUGGCAUCAAGAGCUUGGUUCUUGAAAUUUAUUCAAGUGUGAUCCUAAAACUAUUUUUAUAUGGCUGAUAGAUUACCUUUUGGGGAAGGUGCUUCAAUCAACAGACCACCUCUGUUUUGUGGUUUGAACUACCAAUUUUGGAAAGUCAGAAUGAAAAUCUUUGUUGAAUCUCUUGGCAAAGGUAUUUGGAAUGCAAUUGAAAAUGGACCCUUUGUUCCAAAAUUUGAAAAAGAUGGAUCUUCCAUUGAAAAACCUUGGGAUGAGAAUGAAGUCUCCUCAUCAAGUUCAUCAUCAAGUGAAGAAGAAAAGGCAAACAUAUGCUUGAUUGUUGAAGGAGAUGAUGAGUCAUGUAGCUCAAGUAAUGUAAGUUCAUGUGCUUAUCUAAAUGCUGAAAAUUAUAGUGAAUUGCUUGAAGCUUUUCAAGAAACACAUGAUGAAGCUAAUCGACUGAUUCUUUCAAACAACCGAUUGAAAGAGCUUAACAGCUGGCUUGAAAAGAGAGUUAAGGCACUUGAAGAAGAGCUGGAAAAAUCAAAAAAUGAUUUUGAAAAUCUGGAAACUCAUUGCAAAAACUCUUAUUGCAAAUGUGACACUCUCAUUUGUGAAAAUUGUGAAAAUCUUGAAAAGAAAGUGCAUUAUCUUGUGAGUACUGUGGAUAAGCUUUCAAAAGGAAAAUCCAACUUUGAGAAUGUCUUGGCAUCUCAAAACUGUGUUUUUGGAAGAGCUGGAUUAGGUUUUAAUCCACAAAACAAGCAAGAUAACCGAUUGUUAAGUCGAAACAACCGGUUGUUACAUGCUUUUAUUGCAUGAAGAAAGGCCAUUAUGUUAGAUUAUGCAAAAUAAGGAAAUUUUCUAUUCCAAGAGGCUUUAUGAAAUGGAUUCCCAAAGGUUGUGAGGUUUCAAAUGAUAAAAAUAAACCAAAUGGACCCACAUUUGUAAGGGGACCAAACCUUGUUGCUUGAAUUCAUGUUUAUGCAGGGAAUCAAGAAGAACAUGAGGAACUGAGUCAUCUGAUCAAGUUCUUGGAAGGAAAAGAGUAACAUUGAAGCUGAGUCAAUGUUAUAUACCAGUCCAAGUGAUGUGAUUCCAAUAGCCAUAUAGAGAAAGGUUCUUGACCUUCUUAGGAAUCACCUUGAGUUGGACAUUAUAGAGGCACUUUUCUUAGAGUUGGAUCAUUGUUCUAAGACAAGAACUCACCAAAAACUAGUACCAAAUCCCAAACUCAUUUGGAUGAACCAAUUUUAGUCAAAUUGAACCGAACAACAGAGUAAGAAAAGCAAAGGAACAAGAUGAAUGGACUGAAAUAUAAAAUUGCCGAACCAAAACUCAUAAAAAAACAGCAAGAACACCAAACCAAAACUCAAGAACACAAGCUAACAAAAACAAUAGAAAGAGAAGAAAGGAAGGAGAAGAGAGUGCUCAUGAAGAUGGAAGAAUGUUGGAUGAUCUCGCCACUAGAAGUGUGGAAUGCUCCUAGAUGAGAGUGGUGCCGCCACUUGAGGACUCCAAUGAUCCAUCAAGAUAAGACUAGAGAAGAAGGCUCAAAGCUCUCCAAAGUUCACUCAAAAUUUGAGUAGAGUUUUCUUAGAUUAAUUCCAAUCUGAAAAAUACAAAGAGAGCACCUCUAUUUAUAGCCUAAGGUGCUAAAAUAUAAGCUACACAAAUUCAAAAACUCCCUCCCAAAAGCUUCUAGAAUUUGCGCCUAAAACAAAGCAUGAGGAAGGUGUGACCUCUUCCUUCANNNNNNNNNNNNNNNNNNNNNNNNNNNNNNNNNNNNNNNNNNNNNNNNNNNNNNNNNNNNNNNNNNNNNNNNNNNNNNNNNNNNNNNNNNNNNNNNNNNNCAACCCCCCCCCCCCAAGACUCCUAACUAAAGACUAAAAGAUGCUUUAACAAUAGAGGUUUCUAAUGUUUCCCUCUAAGCACCUUCAACAAUAUUCUUUAUUAUUUAAUACUUGGCCUUGCCCUUCAUGAGAUGAACUUGGGCUUUUUGGGUUUUGGCCUUCUUGGGCUUGGGCUUGGGCUUUGGGCCUCAUCUUUUGCAAAGAAUAAUAAGAAGAACUUUAAAUGUGAGGGCGAAUGAUCUUGUCCUUCAUUAUUAAAAGCCUUCUUUAUUUGAUUCGCAUCACCAAGGUUCUCAAUAGUCAAAAGAGGUUUCUUGAUAAAAAACAUAUGACUCAUUGAAGGAACUUCAUAAAGGAUAAGACCUUCCUUAUCUCUAUCUUUAAUUCUUUUUAAAUUCAUAUUCAUGCUUAAUAUCUCUUGUUAAAUGCUCAAUUUCAUCUACAUUGAAUCCUAUCUGCUCAUUCUUAAAAAUUCAAAAUUUGUUUUGCUGCUGCAGAAAAACAACCGAUUGUUUCCUCUCUGACAACACUAUGAAAGAAGGGAUUUAAUUCUUUUUUGAAUUUUGUCUAUUGCAGAUCUCAAUUAUGAAAGAAUCCUUAGUCAAUAAAGCAAUGUUGAAAGCUGAUCACGUUCUGGAAGAAGUUACAACAUGUCAUAAAGGAGUAUAUUCCAAAAUCUUGAAAAUUUAAGAGCCUUUAUGACUAGUCAAAGAUCACAUGUGAUGACCAUGUGAUUUUCUGCUUUUUCUGACGUUUUAUGUGAAGGUCUUGGUCAAGUCUUUUCUCUUUGAAGACUGAAACCCACUCACAUCAAUUGAAUGCAGUAUGGCUAAGCUUUUCUUUAAAUUCUGGUGCAGUUGUUCUCUCUCACAAGAACAACCAAUUGAGCCAUCUCUUGCAACAUCUCUUGCUCUCCUUGUGUGAGUCUUCUUUGCCUCUUUUUCUGCUAUCAUGGAAUCCACUCCUCCCACUUCAAAGAGGAUCAAAACCAGAGCUGUGAGAUCUGGAGGAAGACUAGAGGGCUGGUUUUCUGGAGACAAUGAGCUCAUUGAAAGAUAUCGCUUUGAAACUAGCACAAAGGUGAUCAACAACCCCAAAGUUGUUUCCUUUGAUUGGCUGAAAAGCCAAAAGCUAGACAAUGUGAGAAAGCUGCUCAAGGACCAGUAGCUGAGAAGGUUCUUAGAGAUGAAGGGAAACAUAGACCCUGAUUUGAUUCGGGUGUUCUACACCACUCUCAAGUUUGAGGGAAACAAUCUUGUUUCUCAUGUGAAGGGAGUUGACAUGGAGAUCACUCAUGAUGUGUGGACUGCUGUUGCUGGUCUGAAAUAUGUUGGUCUAGGAAUCAACAAGGGAAAUCUUGGAGUAGUGGAGGAUUUUAACAAAGUCCAAUACUACAAGAGUUGUUUGAAGAAUCAAAAUGCCCAAGUGAGAACUUGUUCAGUUGGAGGCUUAGAGCUAGAUGAAAGGGUGCUUGCUCUUAUUGUAACUUGGAUUCUUACUCCAAGGGGAAGCAACCAUUCUGUCCUAACAGAAGAAGACCUUGUAUACAUCUACUGCAUCAUGAAGAAGAUCAAGAUCAACUGGAUCCACAUCAUUAAAGAACACAUGCAAAAGGCCAUGAGGUUAAGUGAUUACCACUAUCCCUAUGCUGUUUUAAUCUCUAAAUGCUUGCUCUAUUUUGAAGUGAAUCUUGAAGAUGAGACAUCUGAGUUGGUUAAGUCAACACAAGAGAUGAACAAUGGCUCUCUUAGCAAGAUGGGAUUCACCAAAAUAAAUGGGAAAUGGGUGAGCAAAGAUGGUGAUCAUGGUGCUUCAUCAAGUGUUGCAGCUGCUGAUUUCGAUGAAGAAGAUCAAACUACUAACAUGGAUUUUCACCAUGAAGAACAGCCUGAAACCAAUUUAGGUGCAGGAACCAUUGCAAGAAAUCAAGGAGAUGAAAUGUCAUCCAUGUCUUCUUUUGAAAGAUACGUGGUGAAUAGGCUUGAUGGCUUUGCCGAGAAUCAAAGAAAUCUUCAUGAUUUAUGUGUGAGCAACUUCUAAAGUAUAGACAACAGAUUCAACAGCAUGGAUACAUGGUUUAUGACCUUGGAUGAACAGAUAGAAGCUGUUCAGAAUCAGAUUUUUGAACUCCAGUAUGGCAAGGAUGAUUAAAGGAAAAACAACCGGUUGAACUCACGAAACAACCAAUUGUUUUUGCCCUGUAUCAGAUUCAGUGCUUCUGUUUUCUAAUUUUGUAUAAUCUGGAACAAUUAUCUUUUUAUCUCUUCUUAUUGUUUAUUUGUGAAGACAAAUAGGGGGAGAUUUUAUGUUGUGUUGUAUUUUAUUAUCUUUUAUUUUCUGCAAACUCUAUGUUAUGUUAAAGUGUUUAAGUAAGCCUUAUUUUUGUUGUUUUCUUCUACUGAUAGACUGGUUUUUAAGGUUGCUGAUAAGCUUCUUUUGCUAUUUUGCUCUAACCUUCUAUAAGAGAUAUUGUGCUUUGCUUAAACCUUGUGUUGCAGAAACUGCUUCAGAUUCAAUCAAAUCCAACACAAGCAACCAGGGAUUUGUCUUCAUCAAAUAGGGGGAGAUUGUUGAAUCAAGUGUGUUCAAGCUUUGAAGAAUCCAAAUCCUUUGAGUUUGAUGGAAGGCUGGAUGUGCUUGUUGUUGCUGAGGUGUUUUAGAAUAGGAUCUGGGGUAGAUUAUCUGUGUAAAUCCACUCUUGAUUGAAUCCAAAGCUUAAGCAUUCUCAAACCUUUUUAAUUGAAAGUGUUUUUCAAACUAAGUGAAAAACAACCUGUUGUUUUGUCGAAACAACCGAUUGUUUUAUACUUAGGUGUUUUGAGAAAGGUUGAAAACUAUUUUUGGUGGUUGACUUGCUGUCAAACCAAAACAACCGAUUGAUUCGAGCAUUCAACCGAUUGUUUGUUUUGGGACUGUACCAUCCCGUCCCCGAGCGUUGACCCAAGUCAAAGUCAAAGUCAAACACGUGGUGGGACCCGCCAAGGGGCCCAGGGGAGAAAGUCAAUAGGUUGACCACUUUGGGCGUCGCCAGAAGUGGGCGUCGCCAGGGGUAGGCGUCGUCAGGUGUGGGCGUCGCCAUGUUGAGGCGUCGUUGAUGUCACCCCCCGAUACCCGCGGGUAGGAAAGACUGUGGAGGGGGCGACACAGUUAGAGGCCACGAUACGGGCGCGGUGGCCUCGGGCCCUUGUACCUCAGAACAACAAUUUAGAGAAGAGAGAGGUGGCUUCAAGGUCAUAGUCCCAGUAUCAGCAAGGGGUAGCCUGCCUCGUGAAGUACCCACGCCACCUCUAGAGAAUCCCUGGGACAGAUACGACCCAGGAGAGGGCCACGCCCAGGGGCGAACCAUGUGCAUGGUACAAGAGGAAGGCAGAUACACUCCCAGGGCGAGUGACUAGAAGCUGGGGCGCAUGAGUUGGCACCCAGGUAGUCACUCGUCGCGCCAGAUGCACUCCAGAGAAGGAAGACUUACACGUUGGAGUUUCCCUAAGUUGGGUUACAGCGUGGUAAGGCUUUCCACGUGGAAUGGUGGUUAAAUUAGAAGGACACGUGGCAGUAAGCACUGAAACAUCAAGGUAUAUAAGCUUCUCUGAAAAGUUUACUAAGGUACAUUUUACCAAUUGCACACUUUAAUCAGUUUACACACUCACUCAGAGAGAGAGAGAUCAGAGUUAGUUACGAUUCAAUUACGAUUCUCGAUACGGAGGUUUUGAUGUUUCUUGCUUCGCUGACUUGAUCGUCAGAGUGCAAACGGCCGCAAGGGCGCGCUUUGCUCAGUUCAUUUCAGGUUCUCACGACGGCGUAAGGCGGAGAUCUGAGUUGAAGACGAAGGAGUCCUCGAGUGCAAGUUAGAGCCACGCGCGAAGACUUUCUCAGUUAACCGGCAGGAACAUUUGGCGCGCACCGUGGGGCCGAUUUAAAACAUCAGCUUCCGUCGCAAGUGUUAGAGGUUUUCAGUCGCAGUUUUCGAGAUCAGGUUUCAAGAAUCGUUCAAGAUCCUCAGUUCAUCGUGAAGUUCAGUUCAGAUCACUGUUUGUUCGUCUUUGUUUGAAGUUUGCUGAAGAUACACUGUUGCUCGUGGUUUCCACCGAUCGUUUUCCGAUCGAUUUUAGUUUUCACCGGUUGUUCGUCAGUCUAGUUCGAGUUCCCGUCGCUUUCUUCACCUUCUUGAAGUUUCAACCGUUCGUCCUUUAGUUUCACCAAGUUUUCACCGUUCGUUCUCAAUCUCGUUCGAUUUCACCGGAGAAGUUUGUUAGAAGAGUUUCAAGAAAUCGCUGAGAAUGAGAACCACCAGGCAAAGUUCGACGCGCGCUGAGAGUGGAGACAUGACCAUGCAGCAGGUCAUGGAUAUGAUGCAGGGAUUGCAUGAGGCAAUGGCGGCAUCGAAGGUUGAACAAGAACGCAUGCAGGCGGAUCUCCCAGCGUCUCAGGCGAGAAAUGAAGAGCUCUGUCAUACGAAUGAGGAGUUGCGCCGUGGGUUGCGCAACAACUCAGGGGUAUGAGAAGCAGAUGAGCGCGAGUGCUUCACUCCACCAAGGGAAUUCUCUACGCCGUUCUCGCAGUCGAUUCUGGAGGCGGUAAUUCCUAACACGUUCGUAGGUCCUAAGGUGACCUUCACUGGGAUGGAAGAUCCUGAAGCCCAUCUCACUGCGUUCUACACGCAGAUGAUGCUGGUAGGCGGCUCCGACUCCGUAAGAUGCAAGCUCUUCAUGAGCACUCUGACUGGCAUGGCCAUGGACUGGUUCAUCAGCCUUCCAGAUGGCCAUAUUACAUCUUUCGCGCAGCUUUCCCAACUAUUCAGGGAGCAGUACCUAGCAAACAGGGCUCCACCACCAGUCUCAUAUGACUUGUUUGAUGUGAAGCAGUAUCAACGCGAGACCUUGAAGGAGUAUAUCAAUCGCUUUGGGGCUCAGAUGGUGAAGGUUGGCACCACGGAGGAGCCCAUGAUUGACUACGCAUUCAGAAAGGGGGUGUGCGUUGGGCCUUUCUGCGAGAAGCGCACAAGUGUUGCACCCACACGCCCGAGAGCACCAUCGUGUGCACAACCCACCAGGGUCAACGAGGCCACGACGGGAAGGAAGAACCAGGAAAGGAGAUGCCCAUACGAGGCGAGGAGGCCCAAACCUAGUGGUCGAGCAGGGGGAAACAGGCCGGCGAGGGAAGGGAAUAGGCCGAUAAGGCACAAUUUUGUGGUGGAGCUUAAAGAUCUUAUUGUUGUGCCAAAUAUAGCUGACAGGCUGAGGCCACCAGUGAAGACAGAUAAAGUGCUCUGACCUCACAAAGACUCGUGGUGCGAGUUCCACGAGGCGUUUGGGCACCACAUCAACAACUGCUUGGCGCUGGGCCAUCAGUUAGACGAACUGGUGAAGAGUGGCUUUCUGAAAGAUUACUUGGCCGGGUCUGCUACGGCCGCGGCCUUGGUAGUGCCAGAGGAAGAUCAGGCGCAUGAAAUGCCAAUCCACGGAGAAGUACACACCACCUCUGGUGGCUUCUCAGGAGGAGGGCCCACUGCCUCUCAGUGCAAGAGGUAUGUGAGGUCAGUGAAUUCAGUUGCUGGAGAGGGUUCGGACAACCCAUGGGAGACAGACCUGGUGUUCACGAAAGUUGAUCUACGUGAUGUUGUCCCACAUGACAAUGACCCCGUGGUCAUUUCGGUUGUCAUAGCUGGGAGAAAGGUGCAUAGAGUUCUCGUCUACCAGGGCAGUUCUGUAGAUGUCAUGUUCUGGUCGACCUUCAACAAGCUGCAGUUGUCCCCUGACCUGCUGAGGCCCUACACUGGUUGCUUGUAUGGGUUUGUAGGGGACCAAGUGGAAGUACGAGGCUACUUGGAGUUGAGGACGACGUUUACAGAUGGAACGACAUCCCGUACAGAGAGCAUUCGAUACUUGGUAGUCAAUGCCAAUUCAACUUACAAUAUUCAGUUGGGUAGGCCAGCGCUGAAUAGGCUAAGAGCAGUGGCCUCCACGCGCCACAUGAAGAUGAAGCUGCCAGAUCUUAGUGGCAAGGUGAUCGUGAUCAAAUCUGAUCAAGAAGAGGCCCGAAAAUGCUAUGAAAAUAGCUUAAAAACGAAAAAGGGUGUGGUCAUGGUGAUGGAGCGCCCGCCCGUUUCGGAUACGCCGAUGGAGGUAGAGCCCUUGGAAGAGGCGACGCCCGCGGAGUCGACGCCUGUCGAGGCCUCACACGCAGAGGCGACGCCCAAGGAAGAUGCGCCCUUAGAAGAAGCACAUGGGGAGGCCUCGCCCAUGGAAGAAGUAUCCGAGGGGGCCUCGCCCAUGGAAGAAGCGUCAGAGGAGGCGACGCCUGAAGCACCUGAUGGGGAGACGCCUAUAAGAGAAGGCAGCAGAGGCGAGUCUCGUGCGGAGAGUGUGCGAGACAGGCAACCCCAGCCAGUAGACAACGUGGUGGAGAGGCAGAUAGGUGGCAAGGUAUUCAAGUUGGGACGUUUGCUGAGCCAGGAGGAGCAGGAUGAAGUGGCGACGGUGAUCUCGCGCCACCUAGAUGCGUUCGCAUGGUCCGCCUCGGACAUGCCAGGCAUCGACCCAGACUUCCUAUGCCACCACCUUACCAUGGAUCUCAAGGUCCGCCCUGUACGAUAGAGGAGGAGGAAUUUCAACGAGGAGAGGCGCCUCGUCGUACAGGAUGAGACGAAGAAAUUGUUGUGUGUUGGGCACAUCAGGGAGAUCCAAUACCUUGAGUGGCUGGCCAAUGUCGUCUUGGUGAAGAAGGCGAACGGAAAAUGGAAAAUGUGCGUCGACUUGACGGAUUUGAAUAAGGCGUGCCAUAAAGACUCGUACCCCUUACCAUCGACACAUUGGUGGACAUCGCUUCAGGGUGCAAGAUGCUGAACUUCUUAGAUGCAUUCUCGGGGUACAAUCAGAUAAAGAUGCACCCAAGGGAUGAGAGCAAGAUGGCGUUUAUGACAGAGACGUGCAGUUACUACUAUAAGGUGAUGUCGUUUGGACUGAAGAACGCGGGCGCCACCUACCAGAGACUAAUGGAUAAGGUCCUUGCACCCAUGCUGGGAAGGAACGUGCAGGCUUACGUAGAUGACAUGGUGGUGACCUCGCAGGAGAGGGAGCGGCACACAACGGAUCUGGAAGAGCUGUUUGCCACCAUAUCAAAGUACCGCCUCAAGCUGAACCCAGAGAAGUGCGUCUUCAAGGUUGAGGCAGGUAAGUUCUUGGGCUUUAUGCUCACAUAAAGGGGAAUAGAGGUGAACCCUGAUAAGUGCGCAGCUAUCAUCGCCAUGAGAAGUCCGACCUCGGUGAAAGAAGUGCAGCAACUGACUGGGCGGAUGGCGGCGUUGUCGAGGUUCGUGUCUGCUGGAGGUGAGAAGGGCCACCCCUACUUUCAGUGCCUCAAGAGGAAUAGCCGUUUUGCGUGGACGGAUGAGUGCGAAACAGCAUUCCUCAAGCUGAAGGAGUACUUGGCGACGCCUCCGGUGCUGUGCAAGCCACGGGCAGGCGUCCCCCUUCGCUUGUAUUUCGCUGUGACUGAGUGGGCUAUCAGCUUUGUGCUGGUCCAGGAGCAAGAUCAAGUGCAGAGGCCCAUCUACUUUGUAAGCAAGGCUUUGCAAGGCCCAGAGUUGAGGUACCAAUCGUUGGAGAAGGCGGCGCUGGCAGUGGUGUUCUCGGCCAGGAGGCUCUACCACUAUUUUCAUAGCUUUACAGUGGUGGUGAUGACGGACCUCCCCAUUCAGAAGGUACUUCAGAAGCCAGAUGUCGCUUGGAGGAUGGUUCGCUGGGCAGUGGAGCUGUCAGAGUUUGAUAUCCAAAACGAGCCCAGGGGACCCAUCAAAGGGCAAGUCUACGCAGAUUUCGUUGUAGAGCUCUCACCAGGAGGUUCCCCCCAAGAGGUGGAGUUAGGAUCACUGUGGAUGCUCUCAGUGGAUGGGUCCUCCAAUCAACAGGGGAGCGGUGUGGGAAUAGUCUUCGAGGGGCCUAAUGGGGUGUUGAUCGAGCAAGCCUUACGUUUCGCCUUCAAGGCAAGUAAUAAUCAGGCUGAGUAUGAGGCGCUGAUUGCUGGAAUGCUCUUGGCCAAGGAGAUGGGCGCACAAAGCCUAUUGGCGAAGAGUGAUUCCCAGUUGGUUACAGGGCAGGUAAUAGGGGAGUAUCAGGAAAAGGACCCGCAGAUGGUGGCGUAUCUAAAGUAUGUCCAGGUGCUGAGGGGAGCUUUCGCUACGUUUGAGCUGGUGCAUGUCCCUAGAGAACAAAAUGCCAGAGCUGACCUGCUCGCCAAGCUGGCCAGCUCAGGCAAGCGGGAAGGCAGAGGAUAGUCAUCCAAGAGACGCUCAAAACGCCGCGAAAGUUUGUGGCAGAGAAUAGGGUGGAUUUUCUUCACAUCAGUGCGGCGAGAGGAAAGCCAAGGAGCCAUUGCUCUUUGAUUCAAGAUACGACGAGGAUACCCCGCAUUAGCACCUUUGCGGCCUCGCCCGAGGAAGAGAAGUGUGUACAAGUAUGUGCCUUGGAAGAAGGGAACACGUGGAUGACGCCUUAUAGGCGAUACAUUGCAGAUGAGAUUCUCCCAACAGAGCCUGGAGAGGGAAAGAGGAUAAAGAAGAACUCGUCAAGGUACACUCUCGUUGAUGGAGUGCUAUUUAGGCAUGGGUUCACGCACCCAAUUCUGACAUGUGUAAGUGGCGAUGAGUGUACGAGGAUCAUGUUGGAACUCCAUGAGGGGAUUUGUGGAAGCCACGUGGGGUGAAGAUCAUUAGCUUUCAAGGUGAUUCGCGCAGGAUUUUAUUGGUCAUCGGUGAGGCAAGAUUGUGUAAGGUACGUCCAGCGAUGCAAGCAGUGUCAGAUGCAUGCUGACUAGCACAAGGCGCCUCUAGAGGAGCUGAGAUCGAUUUACAGCCUGUGGCCUUUCCACACAUGGGGAAUCGAUAUUCUGGGGCCUUUCCCUCUUGCGAUAAGGCAAAUGAAGUACUUGAUAGUCGCCAUCGAGUACUUCACGAAGUGGAUAGAGGCAGAACCAGAGGCCCAGAUCACUGCGCACAAGGUACAACACUUUGUUUGGAAGAACAUUAUAUGUCGUUUCGGGGUGCUGAGGCGUUUCAUCUUAAAUAAUGGCACUCAGUUCAUAAGCCAACAGUUGGGGAAGCUGUGUGCAGAGGUAGGAAUCAAACAAGUGUUCACAUCAGUCGAACACCCCCAGACGAAUGGGCAAGUAGAGUCCGCAAAUAGAAUUUUGUUGAGGGGGUUUGAUGGAAAAACGAUCUUCUUCUAGUGAUGAUCUUUGUAAUUUCUUCUUUGGAUGAAUGAUGAAGGAGAUAUGAUGAGCGGAAGCAUUAAAGAAACUCAAGAGGAGUUUCCAUGGAUUGAAGUGGAGUAGGAAUUUGUGAGAGUGAGAGGUGAGGCCAACUCACUAGGAAAGAGUCUAGGCUAAGUCUUGAAGGAGACUAACCUAGGGAGAACUUAAGAACAAGUAGAAUGGCCAAAAUUAGGCAACAUUUCAUUACUAAUUCCAAGUUAAAGAAAUACAUGUAUAAGAGACUCCUAUUUAUAGGAUAAAGUCUCUCAAAAACUCUCAAAUGAGAGUGUGACAAGUGUCACCACCUUAUUGGUGCAAAUCUUCUCCAUUAAGAAGAAGACAUGUGGAGACUCAUGUCUUCCUUGCCUACAUUUCUAUUUGCACCCCUCUUUUACUAUUUUACACAUUACUUUGUUUUCUAUUUACAUCUUUCUCUACUUUGGCCCAAAAUACAAGGCCCAAAACUUCCUAACUACUCUAUACAAUUUUUACAAGGCUAAGAAGAAGAAAAAGACUUUACAAACUCUUCAUUAAAGCUCGAUCUUCGUCUAUCUUCUUGGCCGAAAGUUUUGAGGCUAGACGGUUUCCAUCAUCCCCUCCCUCUUGAAAAGGAUCUGUCCUCAGAUCUGAAUGAUGCUCAAUGACAGCAACCUCUGUUUAUUUGAUGGUUUCCUCCUGGGUCAAAUGUCAAUCUGCAAUAAACAUCAAACAAACAUGAGAUAAAUUUCCUUUUUAGAAGAAAAUUAAAAGAAAAGAAANNNNNNNNNNNNNNNNNNNNNNNNNNNNNNNNNNNNNNNNNNNNNNNNNNNNNNNNNNNNNNNNNNNNNNNNNNNNNNNNNNNNNNNNNNNNNNNNNNNNAUUUCAAAAAUAUUUUUGUUCACUUUGUGUUGUUUAUUGCCCAAGCUAGGCAACAACAUCACAAAGUGUUGUUUUUGAUAUUUUUGUGAAGAAUGAGCAUUAUAUAAUUGAAAAGAAGAGUUCAAAGUAUUGCAAUCCCCCUUUAAGGAUUCUUUCUCAACCAUGCUUUCAGGGGGUGUCAUAAAAGACUCUUCUUCUUUGUGGGUUUCCUCUUCUUCUUCCUUUCAAUCAAAACAUUCUUCUGUAUUUUCUGUGGAGGAAAUAUUUAUAUCUAUAUUUGGCUCAGCUCCAAACAUAGAUUUUUCUUCAAGCACAUCCUCACAAGGGUUUUCUAGAGAAGAUAAAAUGUUAUCGAUAUCUGAUUCAACUCGAAAAAAAGAGUUUUUUGUACUUUCCUUUUUCUCAUUCUCUUCUUUCUUUCUGACAAGAGCUUGGAAUUUUUCUCUAAACUCCUUUUCUCUUCUAACAUAUUCUUUUUCUCUGUAUAUAAAAUUUCUUCCUUUUUCUACAAGCUCUUUCAUUUCUUCUCUAAGCUUUUUCUUUUUCACAUAUGAAGGUGGAACAAACUUUCUUCUCAUACACAUCUUCAAUUCAUCCCAAUUCAAUAUUUCUGAUUUUCUACCAAUUCUAACAUCUGCUUCCCUUUGUAUCCACCAAGACCUAGCAUAUUCUUGAAAACUUAGAGUAGCCAUGGAAAAUUUUCUAUAUUCAUCCAAUUGAUGUUUUUCAAAGAUUUGAUCAACUUUUGUUUCCCAUUCUAAAUAUGCUUCAACAUUUUUAUUUCCAUCAAAGUAAGGAAUGUAUACUUCAGGCUCGAUAGAAUAAUAUAAACUUCUAGGCUCAAAACGCAUCCCUUCCUUUUUUUGAUAAUGAGGGUUAUAAAUCUUUCUUCUACUAUGAUGAUAAGUAUACAUAGACAUAUUUAAGCUUUGUAUUUAAAAGAUUUUUCACAAGAAGGAAAGUGAGUUUAGCACACAAGGUAAAUUCCCAGGAAAGAGAGGUGGGUCACAAUGGACACUCUUAAGUACCAAGUCUUUCCUAGCCAUAACUUAUCCCAAUGCACUUCACAAAUCUCCUUCCAAUGAAAACUUCUUCAACACAAACAAAGAGUUUUCUAAAGAAAGAAACUAAAAGAAAGCUUUUAAAAUCUAAGAAUUUAAAUUGCAAAAAUUUAAACUAGACGACUCCUAAUGGUGAGGCUUGUAGGCACUUGGGAACCUUCAAGACACACUCACCGUCUAAAGCGUGUAUCUAAUAAGAAAAUUAAAGAAAACUUGUAGGAGAUGGAAGAACACCAAAGGCUCUUCCAAGACACCUAAAGUAAAGAUAAUGGCCAAAUUACAAAACUAUUGAAAUCACACAAAAUUUUUUAAAAAAUAAUCUUCAAAGUUCUCUUCUCUUUUCUCACAAGUGUUUCUCUCCAAGCCUUUACUUGUUUGUCCUCCAAAGGUGAGUACCCCUUGCAAGUCCUUUGCCUUCUCUUAGGAUGCUACUUAGAAGUUAGCUCAAUUCUCACAAAGAACAAAUUCAAGGUAUAUUCCACUUCAAGAGGUCAAUAAUAAAAGCAAUAAAAGCUCAAUUUGAAGAGUGAAACUCAAAGGAGAUUAGAGAUGACAAACACAAAGAUUAUCCAUAAAAUCAAGACAAGCAAGAAAUUAAAGGUUUUCAAGAAAGUAAGCACUCAAAAGAAGCACCUAAAGAUUGGCACUAGAAUUGGAUUACAAAAAGAAAAACAAAGAAUGAUGAAAAUUCUUAGUAGACCAUGAAAUCCAAAAUGUUGCUGCCCAAUGUAGCUUGGUCCAAAGAACUCAAUUCUCACGGGUCCCGCGCUAAGGAACUCCAAUUGCCAAAUUUCUCACCAAAAUUUACGCUCCCUCAUUAUUCAACAAAUUCCAAUUUGCUUUCACUGAUUCUACUUUAAUUUCUUCAAUUAAUUGCACACCUUGGUAGUACUUGAUUCACCUGCACAUUCGCCACACCAUUUCUCAUCAAAUUCUUCAAAUUUACGGACCCCACAAUUCACUGCAUCAGCUUCAAUCAAUUUGUAAUUCACAAAUUGAAUUCAAAUGUAGACAUACUUUUUUUUUUAUUUAAUUAAAAUCUGCACCAAAAUGAUCAACAAUUUCAAGCAAUCAAAUCUGAAUCAGAACAGCUAGUAUGAAGACCUACGCUUCUCAAUUACAAUUUCAAAAUUCACCAACAGCUUCACUUUGCCAAUUUCACAAGCUAAACCGGAAAAUUCUGCAUCAAGACUUGCACCAGUNNNNNNNNNNNNNNNNNNNNNNNNNNNNNNNNNNNNNNNNNNNNNNNNNNNNNNNNNNNNNNNNNNNNNNNNNNNNNNNNNNNNNNNNNNNNNNNNNNNNAUUCUUGCUUCAACAAAAUUGAACCAAUUUAGUUUACGCACUUUGCUUUCUCUAUCUCACUUUUCUUGCAUUCAAUGAGGCAAUUUUAAUUAAAUCUCUAGAUCAAUACACCAACCAAUUAUGCACCGGAAUUUUACUCAAUUAAGCAUUGCAUCGUAAACACCAAUUAUGAACCAAAUGAUGCAAACAAUUCAAGUCAUCAUACUACAUCACAACAUCGUGAUCAAUUCAUCAAACAGUUUCAAUGCACAAAAUUAUACCACCAAAUUUUACUAAUCAAAAGAGAAACUGCACACCAAUUUCGAAACCAAUCACCGCUGCAUCACUACCAGAAACAUCAAGGGAAACACCAGAAUUUAUUAAAACAAAUUGAAUGAAUCUAAUUUUUUUUUUAAUUCAAUUAGGCAAAUAAACCUCCACUACACACAUGCAUACUCCAGCUGCUGCCAAAAUUUAAACCACAGAGGAAUUUAAGCAAACAACUUAUCUGCAGUUCUUGUUUACGUAGUUGCAAAACCAAAAUUCUCACUAAACAAUAUGAACUCUAGCUUCAAUUGAUUUUGGUUCUGCACUCCAAACUGCUCUGUUCAACGCAGAUGCCAAAUUUCACUCUAAUUCUAGAAAUCAUUUGAAUGAAACACGCACCGAUUCAAAAUGAACAAAUUGCAACCCACCGUUCACCUAUUCUCCGAUUAAUCUUCUCCAAAAUCGCUCCACAAUACGAAGAACAAUGAACGCAAAAGGUAGAACCAAAAAUCUUCGGAAUCGGAAGUGAAAGCGGAAGAAGAACUUACAUGAAUCAAUUCAUUCUUCACUGCUUUAAUUCUUCGAUUUUCAAUUCACCAGACCAACUCGAUCGUGAUUCAAACAGAUUUCUCCGGUCGUCUUCUCCGUUCACCGAUUUCACUGGAAAACGCCACUGUCGUUUGCGAUUCCUCCGUUCACAAUUCCUCCGCGCGCGAUUCCGAUUUAGGUCAUCGGAAAUCACAAACCUCCGUUUUGCACCGUUACUAUUCUUUGAUCAAUCUUCGCACACCGAUUCAAAAUGAAGCCGAAGAAGAAAAAUGAUGCAGAAGAUGAAGAACAACAAUGCAAAUCGCAGAGAAAAUUUUCAAGAAUAAAGUCCGAGAAACCUAAACCAGAUCUGCUAUUCGUACCUCUGGAUUCACUGUACCACCACAAUUUCCAAGAUUCCGCAAGAACUGGCCAGAUUACUGUGCACACCACUGAAAUGCUUUUUGAACCACGAAAUUUUUUCGGAAAAUUUUCGAGAAUUUUCGAAAAUGAAUUUUGAGAGAAUGACAAUGGAAACCUAAGUCAAAGAAAAUUGCUAAUGAUCUAGUAGCAAUUUAUGAACUCAAAAAUGAAAAUCAAAUGCACUCAAGAGCUCUAAUCUAUGAAGAAAUUUGAAAAAAAUAUCAAAAAGUUCAACUAAUGGAGUUUAUGACAAAUUUGGACUAAACAUGACUCUAGACAAAACAUAUAUGAUUAUAAAAUCAAAAUGACUCAAUUAUAUGAAAAUUUCACCGAACAAAUUUGAAGAAAACUCAAAAAAUUCAAAAGCACACAUGAACAUGAACACAAGAACACCUAAAAGCACAUACAUGAAGGUUCAAGUAAGAACAAUUAAUUUGAACCGAACAAAAAGACAAAAAAACACAAAAUCAAUCGGUAAACAUUCAAGACAAUCAAGAACAUUAUGAACAACACGGAAUUUAGAAAAAAAUAGAAGAAGAUCUUACAACCAUAGCUCUGAAUAUCAAAUGAUGGAAAAACGAUCUUCUUCUAGUGAUGAUCUUUGUAAUUUCUUCUUUGGAUGAAUGAUGAAGGAGAUAUGAUGAGCGGAAGCAUUAAAGAAACUCAAGAGGAGUUUCCAUGGAUUGAAGUGGAGUAGGAAUUUGUGAGAGUGAGAGGUGAGGCCAACUCACUAGGAAAGAGUCUAGGCUAAGUCUUGAAGGAGACUAACCUAGGGAGAACUUAAGAACAAGUAGAAUGGCCAAAAUUAGGCAACAUUUCAUUACUAAUUCCAAGUUAAAGAAAUACAUGUAUAAGAGACUCCUAUUUAUAGGAUAAAGUCUCUCAAAAACUCUCAAAUGAGAGUGUGACAAGUGUCACCACCUUAUUGGU
rnacentral:lncRNA from 1 species